AACGGACCCACCCUGCCUGUAUCUAGCUGCGCCGUACACCACCCCGUGGGUAGCCGGCUUAAGAACUGUCCAACAGAAACUGCGAUACUCAUCGCACUGAAACCUCAUUCGGGAUGGCAUUCGCGGGCGCGACCCAACGAGUUUACAAGUAUCUCUGUUAAGUUCACACGGCUCUCACAGGCUAAGGUCAAGUAAACGACUCUAACUAAUCUAACAACCAACAGGUCACGUGCCCUCGGCACAAUCUGACACCAAAACGGCGAUACGGGUCCACCGUCAACCCCGACGGCACCCAACAGUUCGGAACAGCCUAACCGCUACAGUAAAAAUUCACUCGGCAUCCCAGCGCGAGUGUAACUGAAAUCUAAACUAUCUGGGAUACUUGCUAUGAUGAUACUGCAACCAUAUAAAAUCAUACAACGGCCCCUAGGGCUAAAUCAGGUAGUUUAAACAGGUGACAGGUCCAAAUCGCAGGUUUUCUCCUAAUUCAAAUUCCAAGUCCAACAUGUAUAAACUACUCAAUUUAUUACCACAUGCUCCAAAUUCAGAUUUGCAAUCUACAAUAUAAUCUAUGAAUUCGAGUUAGAAUAGAAUAUCCAAAAAUCGAAAUCUAUACGUGCCGACGAUUAUGAGCUUAGGAGUAAAACCGAUGUAAACCCACCUCGAAAGCUAAUCCAGCGCCGGUGCGACGUCGAGGACGACGAAAACACCUUCUCGCCCGGCCUCCUCGCGAUGUAACGGCAGCAACCGUAUCCCCGGACGGUUCCGCGGCGCGACGUCGGCAACGAAAGCUCCAACCGAGUUCCACCUAUUCGAUCAAUGCUAGAGAAAGAGAGAAGGAGAAGAGUAGCAAUUAGCUCUCUCUCUCUCUGCCCCUACACGUAUAAAGCAAGGGGUGGAAUAGGUGAUACAAACAAGGCAAGGUAAAAUUACUAAAAAACCCCUCACCUACUCAAGUGUACCGGUACACGGGCCUCUGUACCGGUACACAUGCCAACCCGAGAGCAGUCUGCGUGCAACCUGCUGAAGUGUACCGGUACACCUUGAUGGCUGUACCGGUACAGCAAGUAGAAAAACUGCUAUUUUGCAGAUUUCUUCGCUGAAAGCUGCCUUCGCGUCGCACGGAGUCCGUUUUGCGUCUAUUUGGCGCCAACGCGACUCAGACUUGUCCCGACACUCUACAGAGCUAUCGACAAGCCACCACAGCUGAACUCCAGGAAUCUCACAAUAGAAGUAUAGAUAUAGAUUAUUACUAGUAUUUGACCCGUAGAUGCACGGAUAAUAUAAUAAUAUAAAAUAACAAAAGUUAUUAUGCGAUGAUAAAAGAAAAAUAUUCUAUGAAUUGGUGUGCAAACAAUUUACAUUUACAUAUUGAUGUGCAAAACAAAAUGAUAACUAAAAUUGAUAUGAAAAAUUACAAAUAACAUUAAUAUUUUAACAUAUAAUGAGAUCAACUAAACUUUCAUAUUUGACACAAAUUAGAGUAAGCACACAUAUAUUAGAGUCCUACUGUCGCUUUUAAGAUUCAAAAAUAUAUAAAUGUUGGUCUUCAAGAAAAUAUAAAGAAAAAAACUUUGUUGCAUGAAGAUGGAAAGUAUCUGCUCCAAUAACAAUAUAGAUAAAUUGUUAGAUAAGUAAAAUGAUAAAUAUCAUAAUAUUAGUGAAUUUUUUCAAAAAAAGAUCUAAAUUUAUUUAAAAAAUAAAAUGACAGAGUUGAAUUGUUGAAAAACUGACAAUUUUGAAAUAGCAUGAAGAAAAAUAAACCGCUCACCUAUUUUAAGUUCUGAAACACUUCUUUAAAAACCAUAUUGCUUGUGGUUUUGGAUAACAAACCAUCUUUAUCACAAAUUAGAAUUUUCAAUCUGUCCUUGCUUCGAACUCUAGAUAUUGCAACAUAUACCUGACCAUAACUGAAUAUCUGUCUAUGUAGAUACAAUCCAACAUGUGAUAACGAUUGACCUUGACUCUUGUUUAUCGUCAUAGUAAAACAAACAGCCAACGGGAAUUGCCUUUGUUGCAUUUUAAAAGGUAACUUGGAGUCUGAUGGAGUAAUCACCAUAUGGGGUGUAAACACCUUCUCCCUAAUAUUGCUCCCAGAGAUCACUUUUGCUUCUAGUAUGUGUUUUCCCAAUUGAGUGAUCACUAAUCUUGUUCCAUUGCAUAAACCUGAAAACUUGUCUAUGUUUCUCAAUAACAUCACAGCAGCACCUUGCUUCAAUUUGAGCAUGUGAUUGGGAACUCCUGAACAUUUAAUACUGUUUAAAAAAUUAGGUGUAUAUACAUCUUCAGGACCAUCUAAGCCCACAUCCGUCUUACAAACACUAUCAGAGCUCAAAUAAACUUUUUCUUCACCAUGAAGCAAUGAAAGCACGUAUUCAUUCACAGCAUCCACAAUUUCAAGAGUAGGAGCAAGAAUCGCUCUUUCUUGUAAGUAUUGCAAAUCAUGAAUAUUACUUAACAAUGAAGGAUACGUACUAUCCACUAUUGAUGCAAUUGGAUUUGUUGAUUCCUUUAUGAGAAAUUCAUCAGGUAUCACUAUUAAUUUCUUCACCAUCAUUCUCCUCACCGGCAUCUCCAUCUCCAACACUUAGUAUCCACUUUGAGAACUCUCUCAUCUCUUCUAGAUUGUAAUUAAAUGAGCCUGUUUCUAGCCUCAUUUUUUUGUCAAAGUAAGAACCUUAAUAGAACUCCAAAGAUAAGAAGAAUUAAUAGUUGCAAAAAUAAUAUCUUGUCUUGUCCCUUUAGGAAUAACAGGAAGAAUUUGCCUGAAAUCACCUCCAAAAAUAACGACUUUACCCCCAAAUGGUUGCUCACAACUUGAUGGAUUAGAAAACCGUAGAAUAUCUCUUAAUGUCCUGUCAAGAGCUUCAAAACAAAACCUGUGUGCCAUUGGAGCUUCAUCCCAUAUGAUAAGCUUCGUAUGAAUUAACAACUCUGCCAGAUCACUACCCUGUUUUUAUAUUACAAGUCGACUCGUCAGUUAUUACUAGUGGGAUCCCAAAUCUAGAGUCAACUGUUCUUCCCCCCGGAAGUAGAAGUGAUGCUAUUCCGCUAGAAGCAACAUUAAGAACAAUUUGACCCUUAGACCUUAUGGCUGCAGAUAAAGUUCGCCAUAUGAAAGUUUUUCCUGUUCCACCAUACCCGUACAGAAAGAAAACACCCUUAUUCUUUGACACGGCACUAAUUAUUGUCUCAUAGACACCUUUCUGUUCAUCAGUAAGAGAUGACAUCAAGGUUUUGUGCUCUCUUGUCAUGGAAUUUCUAUCAUAAUAAAGUUCAUCUUGAAGAAGCUUGUUUCUGGCUCCAAAUAAAAGAUAUUCAUUACGUAAAGGCAUCGGAGAAAAUUCUGCUAGACUUUUCCCGUUGCUACGCAACAACUUAUCAAUCUCAGCAAAAGUCAAAAUUUUCAACUCAUCAUCUUUUAUCUGCAAAGCUACAAAUAUAAAAAUUAAAAGCUAUAAUUAGUUACAAAUUCUAACUAACAUAUCUCCAAUACUUAGUAUCCACUUUGAGAACUCUCGCAUCUCUUCUAGAUUGUAAUUAGAUGAGCCUGUCUCUAGCCUCAUUUUUUUGUCAAAGUAAGAACCUUAAUAAAACUCCAAAGAUAAGAAGAAUUAAUAGUUGCAAAAAUAAUAUUUUGUCUUGUCCUUUUAGAAAUAACAGGAAGAAUUUGCCUGAAAUCACCUCAAAAAACGACGACUUUACACCCAAAUAGUUGCUCACAACUUGAUGGAUUAGAAAACCGUAGAAUAUCUCUUAAUAUCCUGUCAAGAGCUUCAAAACAAAACCUGUGUGCCAUUGGAGCUUCAUCCCAUAUGAUAAGCUUCGUAUAAAUUAACAACUCUGCCAGAUCACUACCCUGUUUUUAUAUUACAGGUCGACUCCUCAGUUAUUGCUAGUAGGAUCCCAAAUCUAGAGUGAGCUGCUCUUCCCCCCGGAAGUAGAAAUGAUGCUCUUCCGCUAAAAGCAACAUUAAGAACAAUCUGACCUUUAGAUCUUAUGGCUGCAGAUAAAGUUCGCCAUAUGAAAGUUUUUCCUGUUCCACCAUACCCGUACAGAAAGAAAACACCUCCCUCAUUCUUUGACACAGCACUAAUUAUUGUCUCAUAGACACCUUUCUGUUCAUCAGUAAGAGAUGACAUCAAGGUUUUGUGCUCUCUUGUCAUGGAAUUUCUAUCAUAAUAAAGUUCAUCUUGAAGAAGCUUGUUUCUGGCUCCAAAUAAAAGAUAUUCAUUACGUAAAGGCAUCGGAGAAAAUUCUGCUAGACUUUUUCUGUUGCUACGCAACAACUUAUCAAUCUCAGCAAAAGUCAAAAUUUUCAACUCAUCAUCUUUUAACUGCAAAGCUACAAUAUAAAAAUUAAAAGCUAUAAUUAGUUAUAAAUUCUAACUAACAUAUAAUAGUUUAUAUAUGAUUUAAUUUGAUUUUUAAUAGUGAUUUUUAAUAGUGACUUAAUUUGAUUUAAUUUGACUUUUAAUAGUGAUUUUUAAUAGUGACUUAAUUUGAUUUUUAUAUGACUUAAUUUGAUUUUUAAUAGUGAUUUAAUUUAAUUUAAUAGUGUUAAUUUGAUUUAAUUUGAUUUUUAAUAGUGAUUUUAAUAGUGACUUAAUUUGAUUUUUAUAUGACUUAAUUUGAUUUUUAAUAGUGAUUUAAUUUAAUUUAAUAGUGUUUCCUAAUCUAUUUAACUAAAUCCCUAGUCUAUAUUUGAGUUUAACACGUGGCAAGCAUAUAGAAAGCCACGUGUCCAUUUCUCACGAAAGUUUCAUAAAGGGUUCUAUUUUAGUAUAUAGUAAUAGAUUUGACAUAUAUGAUUAUAAUUAGAAAUGUAAUUCUAAUUGAAUUAGGAUUAAACUCUAGUUAGGAGACAUGUAUUAUAUACACAUGCUACGGCCAAGUUAAUGACGCCGUGACUCAAAUUAAGCCUUGCAUAUUAGAGAGUUCUUCGUUCUCCAAGAAGCCGGCCCUAUUAAGAUGCCAUGCUAAUUAAUUAAAGGUAAGGUUGCUUAUUUCUGUGGGAGGAGUUGUGAUGCACUAAUUAAUCAAGUGGCUUGUGAGCUCCGUACGGUGGCAGCAACACCAUUAGCCGGGUGCAUGCUGCUGUACAUCCUUCCUUUGGUGAGCGGAGCCACUUAUUUGGAGUUGCAUGUACGAAUGCGGAUUUCGGCGUUUUCGAUCUAAUUAAGUUUGGUCUUUGAGAGAUUUUCUUGUACUCCGCCUUUCGAAAUUCAUAAAUUAUUUGCUCCGUCUUCAUCCGUGGACGUAGGCCAUUGGCUGAACCACGUAAAUAUCAGUGUGCUCAUUCCUCUUAUCUUUUAUUUCCUGCAUUAAGUUAUUUUCUGUAUCUAUUUUUCACCGUUCCGAUUUUAAAAAACUGGUAUCAGAGCCUUUCUAUUCUCUUUGAGGAUUAAGAUAACGACGAAGUUCGAGGUUCAGAAAUUUGACAGGACCAACAGUUUAGCAUUUUGGCAAGUCAAGAUGCGUGCUGUAUUGACACAACAAGGAUUGCAAAAGGCACUGUUGAAAAAAAAAAAAAGGAUGUCCAAUUCUUUGACGUCGGAGCAGAAAGAGGAGAUUGAUGACAAAGCUUUUACGGCAAUACAAUUAUAUUUAUCCGAUGAGAUAUUAUGUGAGGUCUUGGAUAAAAAGACCGCUGCAGGACUUUGGCUUAAAUUAGAGUCUCUCCACAUGAUGAAGUCUCUCAUCAACAAGUUAUAUUUGAAGCAAUGUCUCUUUAUGUUGCGCAUAGUGGAAGGUACCUCUAUUAAGUCACAUUUAGAUGAAUUUAAUUCUAUUAUUAUGCAUCUCCGCUCGAUAGAUGUUAAAAGGAAGAAGAUGAAGCCCUUUUAUUAUUAUGUUCUCUACCGACCUCUUAUACGAAUUUUCGUUAGACCUUCUUGUUUGGUCGAGAUACUCUAUGUCUCGAUGAUCUUAAAUGCUCUUUACUUUCAAAAAGAGAAUUGACAUGCAGAUAAGCAACGAGACAGGUGGAGCUUCAGAACAAGAUUUGGUCGCUAGAGGGAGGUCUCGAGGGAAGGAUUCCGGUAAUAGAGAUACAUCUAGAUCAAAAUAAGCACAAAAUCUUAUUUGUGGUUAUUGUAAAAAGAAAUGUCACAUAAAAGCUGUUUGUUUCAAGUUGAAAAAUAAAGUGUAGCGGAAGAAUAACGGUGAUAAAAUCAAGAUCAGAAAAACACCAAUACUUAAACAGAAGCAAGUGUUGCAGCAAGAGAAUCAGAUAAAAAUAAUAUCGUUUCACAGUUACGGAUAAGACACGCAGACAGGAUGAGUGGCUUAUGGACUCUAUGUGCUCCUUCCAUAUCUGUACGCAUAGAGAACGGCUCUCGACGUACAUGUCUAUUCAAGAUGGAGAUGUAUUGAUGGAAAAUCACUCUAAAUGUACAGUUAUUGGAAUUGGCACUGUUCAAGUACGGAUAUUCGAUGGAGUAGUGAGAACUAUAUCUGAGGUUCGACAUAUUCCGGAUAUAAGGAAAAAUCUGAUCUCAUUAGGUACACUUGAUACCAAAGGUUUUAAGUGUUCUUCAGCUGACGAAUUAAUGAAGGUCGCUAAAGGGAAUCUUGUAGUGAUGAAGGCCAAGUUGUCCGACAUGUUAUAUGUUCUACAAGGUUCCACUGUGACAGGUUCAGCAGCGGUGACUUCUUCGUCUAUGUCAAAUGCUGAUAGCACCAGAUUAUGGCAUAAGCGACUGGGCCAUAUGAGUGAAUAUGGUAUGAUGAAGUCGAGUGAGAGAGGUCUAUUUGGUAAUCAGAGUUUAGAAAAGUUAGAUUUCUGCGAGUAUUGUGUUCUUGGCAAACAAAAGAGAGUCAGCUUUAAGGUCGCAGUUCACUGGACAAAAGGUACUCUAGACUAUAUUCAUUCUGAUCUUUGGAGAACCUCUUGUACUUUUACUUAUGGUGGUGCUAUAUAUAUAUUGACUUUUAUUAAUGACUAUUCUUGUAAAGUGUGGCGUUCUUUCUCAAAAGAAAAGAUGAGGUGUUCAAUUAUUUCAAGCAGUGGAAGGCCAUGAUUGAGAAGCAAACUGAAAAGAAGAUCAAGAGAUUAAGGAAAGACAAUGGUUUGGAAUUUUGUUCGUCGGAGUUUGAAGAAUUUUGCAAGAAAGAAAAGAUCGUUCGACAUAAGACCGUUAGGCAUACUCCACAACAGAACGGGGUGACCGAACGAAUGAAUAGAACUCUUUUGGAGAGGGUCCAUUAUAUGCUCUCUAAUGCUGGCUUAGCUAAGAGUUUCUGGGUAGAGGCGAUCUCUACGGCAUGCUAUUUGGUAAAUCGAUCUCCACAUUCAGCAUUUGAUUGCAAAACUCCGGAGGAGGUAUAGUCUAGUAGCCCUUCUGAUUAUUCUAAUUUGCGAAUAUUUGGUUGUCCUGUCAAUGAAGGCAAGUUAGAACAUAGGGCUAAAAAGUGUAUUUUUAUUGAUUAUGCAUCGGGGUUAAGGGAUAUAGAUUGUGAUGUCCUGAAUCGUCUAAAUUAAUUAUUAGUAGGGAUGUCACAUUUGAUGAAUCUGUUAUGUUAUAUUCUAACCAUAAUUCUUUUGAUGAGGCCCUGAGUGCUAGCAAGUAGGUGGAGGUAGAGACCGAUGAUAUAGUUCAAUCGCAGGAUUCUUCUUAAUUAGAACAAAUUCAAUCGGCAGACACCUCAGAAACUAAAACCCCACAAGUUGAGAGGCAGAGUAUUGCUACAGGCAGAGCGAGGAGACAGAUCAAACCACCGUAGAGAUACGGUUAUGAAGAUAUGGUUGCUUACGCUCUUUCAGUGGCACAAUAUACUGAACAAGAAAGUGAACUUUCCACAUAUAAUCAUGCUAUUUCUGGUGCCAAUUCUGUAGAGUGGUUGGUGGCGAUGAAUAAGGAGAUGGAGUCUCUCUAUAAGAAUCGCAUAUGUGAGUUGGUAAAACUGCCUACAGGCAAGAAAAUUAUUGGCUGCAAAUGGAUCUUCAAGAAAAAGGAUGAAAUUCCCGGCGUGGAAGAUACAAGGUAUAAACCUCGUUUAGUUGCUAAGGGCUACAAUCAGGUAGAAGGUGUUGACUUUAAUGAUAUUUUCUCACCUGUCGUGAAGCAUACUUCUAUUCGUAUUCUUUUAUCGUUAGUAGCCAUGAAUGACCUGUAUCUUGAGCAGCUUGAUAUUAAGACUACUUUUCUGUAUGGAGAACUUGAUGACCAAAUUUAUAUGAAACAGUUAGAGGAAUUCAUUAUUAAAGGGAAGGAGAACCAUGUUUGCCUGCUAAAGAAAUCGCUUUAUGGCUUAAAGUAGUCUCCUCGACAAUGGUACAAGCGGUUCGACUCCUUCAUGACAGGUCACAGAUAUUUCAGAAGCAAACAAGACAGUUGCGUGUACUUCAGAAAGCUUGAUAAGGGAUCUUUCAUAUAUUUGUUGCUCUAUGUCGAUGAUAUAUUAAUUGCUUCCAACGACAUAAUUAAGAUAAGUAAAUUAAAGGCUUUAUUUAAGGGUGUGUUUGAAAUGAAAGAUCUAGCUGCUGCUAAGAAAAUCUUUAAUAUGGAAAUUAAGAGGGACAACAAGUCAGGACUAUUGCAUUUGACAUAAGAGAAAUAUAUAUAGAAGAUUUUAAAGCGUUUCGGGAUGACAGACGCAAAAUCGGUGAGCACUCUUUUUGCGGCGCAUUUCAGACUUUCCGCCGAGUUAUCACCGCAGUCCGAUGAUAAGCGGGAGUACAUGUCUCAUGUUCUAUAUUCUAGUGCUGUCGGGAGCAUCAUGUAGCCGGAUAUCUCCUACGUAGUGAGCAUGCUUAGCAGAUAUAUGACUAAUCCUGGUAAGACUCAUUGGCAAGCUGUUAAGUGAAUUUUGAGAUACUUACGAGAUGCCACUAGCGCUUGUUUGGAGUUUGGAAAGUGUAAGGAUGGUGUGGUUGGAUAUGUUGAUUCGAAUUUUACAGGUGAUUUGGAUAGGAGGAAAUCACUUUCAGAUUAUAUAUUCCCUAUUGGCGGAUGUGUAGUUAGUUGGAAAGCUUCACUACAACCUAUUGUCGCCUUGUCUACGAUGGAAGCAGAAUAUAUUGCUAUGACAGAGGGUGUGAAGGAAGCUAUGUGGCUAAGAGGCUUAUUUGGAAAGCUUCUUUCUUAUUGGAAUCCGACAAUUGUUUAUUCGGACAGUCAAAGUGUUAUUCAUUUAUCGAAAGACCAGAUGUUUCAUAAGAGGACAAAGCACAUUGAUGUAAAGUUUCACUUUAUUUUGGAUAUGAUUGGGAAACGCAUGGUGACUAUUAAGAAAAUUGGUACUGAGAACAAUCCGGCGGAUAUGCUUACUAAGUCUCUUACUAUUGCCAAAUUAAAGCAUUGUUUGGACUUGUUGGCAGUUAGUAGCAUUUGAGACCCUAUGGGCGUUUGGAGAAGAGGGAGCACGGAGCGUUAAGGAGUAUUGAGGCGAAUUAAAUUCAAGGUGAAAUUUUGUGGCGACCUCGACAUAGCGGUGGCUAAACUACAAAUUAAACCAAGGUGGAGAUUGUUAUAUUUGGUUUAAAUUUCUAGUUAGCUAAAUUGGAGUUAAAUCCUAAUCUAAUUAGGAUUGGAUAUAAUUUAAAUUUAAUUUGGCAUAUAUGGAUUAUAAUUAGAAGUGUAAUUCUAAUUGAAUUAGGAUUAGACUCUAGUUAGGAGACAUGUAUUAUAUAUACAUGCUAGCUACGGCCAAGUUAACGACGCCGCGAUUCAAAUUAAGCCUUGCAUAUUAGAGAGUUUUUGGUUCUGCAAGAAGCCGGCCCUAUUAAGAUGCCAUGCUAAUUAAUUAAAGGUGAGGUUGCUUGUUUCUGUGGGAGGAGUUGUGAUGCACUAAUUAAUUAAGUGGCUUGUGAGGUCCGUACGGUGGCAGCAACACCAUCAGCCGGGUGCGUCCACGCUGUCGUACAUCCUUCCUUUGGUGAGCGGAGCCGCUUAUUUGGAGUCGCAUGUACGGAUGCGGAUUUUGGCGUUUCCGAUCUAAUUAAGUUUGGUCUUUGAGAGAUUUUCUUGUACUCCGCCUUUCAACAUUAAUAAAUUAUUUAGUCUGUCUUCGCCCGUGAACGUAGACCAUUGGCCGAACCACGUAAAUAUCGGUGUGUUUUUUUCUCUUAUCAUUUUCUUUACUGCAUUAAGUUAUUUUCUGGAUCUAUUUUUUUUCCAUUUUAACAUUCUGCACCUAAUAAUAUAGGAUAGUGUGAGUUAUCUAUACGAUGGACACACUAAAAUUAAUAAUCGGACUUAAAUAAUUUAGGCUACAGGCUGGACCGUCACGUUCAUGAACAACUCAGUUGGGCUCGACUCGAUAUUAACUAAACUAGCUGAUUUGAGUUUGGCUUGUUCAUAAAUUAGUAAAGUUUGAGAUUAGCUUAUAUAAUUAUUAAUUAAUUAACUAAAGAUAAAAAAGAUGAAGAAAUGAGGCAAUAUUUGAAGAAAAGGAACAAAAGUUAAUAAGAAGAUGUAGCAUGAAACAAGUAAAUUAAAUUUCCCCUAUCUUAUAAAAGAAAAAGAUAAAAAAAUGCAUAACUAAUUAACCUAAACAUUAAAUUGUUUGAAAUAACUACUUAACAGUUUGACUUUACUAAUUGGCCUUUCAUUUUAUUUGAUUUUAAUUAGUUGUUUAUUAGUUUUGGAAAAUUAUUACAAGCACCAUUACAUUUGUACAUUCGUACACCGUAUUUUUAUGGAUCAUUCAUUUCAUCAGCUGAUUGUUUGAUAUUUACUAGUCAAUUCAAUAAGUUAUAGUUUAUUAUUAUUAUUAUUAUUGUUUAACUUAAAGAUUGAGCAACUGAAUUAAUAAUAUAAAAUAUUGUUUAAUAAAAUAUAUGGCAUACAAAUAUCUGAAUGCAUCAGAUCCAUGCAUGUAAUUACUUUUAGUAAAAUUAAAUUUUUUAAAAAUUUGUUAAUUAUUUCCAAAUUAAUGCAUGACCUAAAGUUUAGGUCAGCUCUACACAAUUUUAGAUAAGCAUGCAUGUAUUACACAGAGGCAACUAGCUAGAUUGCUGUAAUAUUAUGAAAAUGAUGUUGCACAGUACAUUAAUUAAUUAAAUGCCAAAUCAAUAGUUUUUGGAUUUAAAUGUUUGCCCAAAACUUACAGGUGUAGUCAUAAUAAUUGUUCGAGUUAUAUAAAUAAAAAAUUUAUGAGCCUAAAGCAACCAUUGCAUGUAUUUGGAUUUCCCCGGACCACCACUUUUGAUACAGUGUAAGAUUCAGCACUGAUAUAUAUAUAAUUAGCGACUACGAUUGAGAUCGAUGCAUGUCACACAUAUAUAUAUGCGCUGCGUAGCCAAAUAAUAACCAUAUGUUCUCAUUUUAUGAUUCUAAUGUUAAUAGUACCUUUCACUUUUAAGUUAGUUUAUGUGUCAACAUAUCAAUGUAGUUAUGAUAUUGCUACAUGACCAAACUCUCCAUUUGCUUAUGUACAUUAUUCUUAAAAUUUAACUGAGAGAUGUUAACUGAUUGUAGUACGUUUUAGUGGACUUAGUAAAUGUAGUGGAUUAAUUACGUGGUGUAAAAUAAUUUUGUUCAAAGGUUUUUGAUGAACUAUAUACGUGAAAAUGAUGCAUGUAUAACCCUUUAGGGCUUGAGAAUUCUAUUUUUAAGGAUAUUUAAUUUGCAAAUUAAAGAAAACUAUGUUUUAACAACAAAGAAAUGGCUGUUUAUAGAGUUAAGCAUAUUUUUCGCAUGCAAUUAGUAACAAACAAAAAUCGUGCUCUCUUUAUAAUGUGUAAAAAUAUUUCUCUCGAUUAUUUUAAGUUAUUUAAUUGACUAAAAUCAUUAACAUAAUAUCAAAGAUUAAUGAAUACCUAAUUCUAUGACUCUGAGAGAUUGAGACAGAAAUUUCAUACUGCAUAAUUAACAUUAAAUAAGAUUACAUGUCUCUAAACACUUACUUUUUGAAAAUAAAUUUGAAGUACAAUAGCUAGCUUGGACAAAACUUAACUUUAUAUUAAUUAUUAUAUAUAUGCGCUGAAAUUGACUUACGUGAUUAGCUUAGGUAAGAAGAAAGACUUUUUUGAAUGUAGCUGUUCUCUGCUAGGUUAAAUUUUUAGAAGUAACUGUGAAUAUUUGAUUAGUACUACGAGGAUGUAUCACACUUGCUACAAUAUAUCAAACUUUUUAGAUUUAUUAAUAUGUAGCAUGGCACUAGCCAUAUACUAAAGAAAACAUGCUCUAAAAGUUGGCUUAACACAUCAUAAACAUCGUUUGGAAUUACAUAAAGGUUUUAUUAUGUGCGAUAAGAAAGUAAAAUAAAAAAAAAAAUUCUAUUUACUUCUGUGUGUAAUAUUAUAUUUUAUAUAUUAUAAUGAGAUGAUUAUAAUAUAUAUUUUAUAGUACCAUUGAAAAACUUAUAUCACUGCAUGUGUCUCCAUGGACUUCAACAUCAAACGGUCCCGGAUGAAACGUAUGCAGUUAAUAUGCCACCAACAACUUUUCUUUAGUAUGAGGGAGGUAGUUGUUACACCACAUUAAUGAAUCGUGUGGCAACUUUUGAGCCUCAACUUAAUAAUUUAAUGCGUUGACUCUGUACAGCUAAUCCGCAACUGACUCAUCAUAUGGAAGGUCAGUUGGUAUUUCCUUUUUUUAAUGUAGGUUUGUGACGCAUCACGGUACCCAGGGUUAUCACUUCUAAGCCUAUUCUAAUUCUAGCACGCUCUUUUGAUCUUUUGAAUCUAAUUUAUUUUUUAUUGGAGAUUUGUGAUUCCGUACUUUUUAGAUGGUCAUCCAUUUUAAAAUUACUCUAAUCCUAAUAUGUUUAAUUCUCUUAACCUAUUGAGCCUAACUACCAUCCAAAAUAAAGAUUUAGAAACUCACAACCAUCUGACAAUAUAAAACUCGUCUUACUAGUCUUAGCUGGCUCGCUCUACUCUCAAGAAAAGUCACCCAUUUUAGAACUACUUCAAUUCCAGCACAUUUAAUCUUUUUAACCUCUUGGCGUAAUUACCGCCCAACAUACUAUAACCGAGUUAAAAGUUUUAGUCAUAUUAUAUCUUAUAUAUAGAAUUACCUAAGCUCUCUCUCACAGAAUACCCUCCUUUAAGCUGUGACGUCAUGUCAGGCUGAAACUUACAAGUAUCAUACGAUGUGAGACUCAUCUCGCUACCUUUAACCAAUCUUGUGAAAAAACCGCACUCUACCGAUAAUAGUCAUCAACAUAAAAAUCUCGCUCCUCCCACUAUAUAAUCUGGUUCAAUAGAUACUUAUUUCACACUUCCAACUGGUUACUGGCUCUGAUACCAACUGUGACGCUCCACUUUCCAUGAAGUCAUCCAUCCUAGAACUACUUUAGCCCUAUUACACUUAUCUCUGUUAACCUCUUGAGCCUAACUACUGCCCAAUAUAUUAUAGUCGGGUUAAGAGUUUAAUCCUAUUAUAUCUUAUAUAGAGGACUCUAUGGAGUCUCACAAAGUUUUUGUAUUUAGUGAGAACGUUUAAUAAAUACUUAGUAUCUGUUUGAUAAAGCAUCUUCAACAAUUACUUUCUGUUGCACAAUCAGAAAAAUCGAACAAAUAGAGGCUUAAUAAGAUUCAGAAUCUCAGUUUUACUUGGCCACUGUAAUGCCAGUUUGACUCUACUGCAUAACAGAUCUCGUUGUAUUAAUUAAAAAAAGUAAUACAUUAAAGUAUUUUUAAUGGUCUCUUUGCAUUGUAGAAUCAGAUAAAUCAAAUAAAUAAAUAAAUAAAUGGAGCUUGUGAAUGCUUUUAAGACCUUUAACUCUCAUUUUUACUAACCGGUAUAUAUAGUGUUCGACUCUGCUGUGAUUAGAGAUCAAUAUAUAAAAGUUUUCUCGGAAGCCUAUUUCUAUGGAAUAAUUAGAAGAUCCAAAUUGGACUUCUGUUUCUGAAAAUCAAAAUCUUAUGUGUAUUUUCUAUUAUAGGAUAAGUAAUUCAUUUGUUUAAUUAGUUUUUCCAUAUUUACGCAAUGAGAAUUUUUUUUUCUCAUAUAUAACCUUUUUAAAUCAGAAAAUUUCUCUUAUUAAAACUUAGGAUAAUUGUUCCUGCAAAUGAUUCGUAUUUUUCAAAUUUAUCCCUCUAAAUCUUAAGGUUUCAUAUUUGUUUCAAAAAAUACAAAAUUUAAGUUAUGCAAAUAUACCCCUCAGAUUUAUUGGUAGUUUUUUAACAGUUAAUCGCUACAGAAUUUGCCUCUCAAAAAGCUAUCUUGUUUUUUCUCCUAUUUUAUCUCCAUCGGGGUUCGCCAGAUCUGAUGACAGGACUGUGACCGCCGUCAACACCGCCAUAUCUGACAAGAUGGUCAUUUUUUUUUACCUUUUUUUCCAUUUUAGGAAAAAAUUCUCACAAUUUUAGGGUGUAUUUGGUUCCUCGUAAAAUCAUCUCGAAAACAAAAUUUAGGUGGACAAGUAAGAUUCCGACGUUUAUUUGCUCGUAAAAAAUUUUUUUUGAAAUUUUUUUUUAUGAAUUGUAAGAAAAACGGGUGUUUCUGUUUUCCACUCGAAAGAAGCGGAAAUGAAAACUAACACUCGAAAAAUCGUGGGGUUGGGAGGGAAGGGGGGCAGCAGGCACACGGUCCAUGUGGUUAUAUAAAUAUUUAUUAUAUAUAAAUAGUGAUAUAAUUUAUAUAUAUAUAUAUAUAUAUAUAAUAUAUAUAUAUAUUGAGAGAGAGUUAGGUCUGACAAUAUAAUUUGUUAGUAAAAAAUCUAUUUUUUGCUAUCAAGUUUUUUAACUUAGAUGAUAAUUGUAGGUUAGGAUGAUAUUAGUUCCUUUUAAGGGUUAAAGUGGUUCCACUGGGUUAUACACGCUCCCAAUUUUCAUUUAACUCCUUUCCAACCCGGUUGAACAAUGAUCCGACAAAUCGAAUCCACCACAGUCCCGUUUUAAAAAUUGAUAGCAAAAAAGAUCUUUGACUUCACAUAGUAUUCUAGCCCCAACUCUCUCUCUCUCUCUCUCUCUCUCUCUCUCUAUAUAUAGUAUUUUAUUUUUAAUAUAAAUAUAUUUUUAUAUAAUAUUUAUUUAUAGAUAUUAUUUAUAAAUAUAUAGUAAUUUAUUUUAUAGUAUUAAAUAUAUACUAUUAUAUAUUUUAUUACAUACUUAAUUAUUGUAUAAUAUAUUUUAGAUAUAUUUUAUUUAUAAAUAUAAACUAUAAUAAUAUGAUAAUUAUUAAAUAUAAAUUAUAUAGAAUAAAAAUAUAUGUAUAUUGUCACGCCCCGGAUUACACGUUCUCCGAGCACGCCGACAAAUCCGCCGUAUACGAAGGAAUUUUUUCUGUAUACGAAGCGAUAGCUGUACCUGUAAAUCAUACAAUAUUACAAACAGCAGUAUAGAGCUACUAGAAGAACCAGUAAUAAAACAAACCGAGUUUCAUAUACAUACGCCAAAUCCAAGAUACAAAACUACUCGCACUGGUGAGUUAAACAUCUGUAUAUACAUAAACUCCAACCAUAAACAACUAGCUGCUGUAGGGGCACCUCUAGCUCAGCUCGUCGGGUAGGGCUCUAACUCGCAACGCCCUUGCCUCGAUCCUGAUCAGCAACAGCAGCAGCCGAAGACGAUGGCUCUGCAAAAACGGGGUAACAAUAGGGCGUGAGAACUACUGUAAAAACAAGUAGUCCUCAGUGAGUGCCACCCUCAAUAUCAUCGGUCCACCCACUAAGUCUACAGAAAGGAGCAAAGAUAGUAAUUAAUGCAGGAAUAAAAGCUACAGCUACUAUUUAUUACACUAAUAUGCUCUAAUCUGACCUACUGUAGUAAUGUCGGUCCUGACCCAAUCUCUUUAGGGACAGUAAACAUACCCGUCUCAGGGACUGUGAACACAUCCGUCCCUCCCAGUUGAGACUAUCCAGCUACCUCCACAUUAUCCAGUCCAUGGAGAGCAAAUCUAACUGGCAUGAACGACACCAACGCGAAAGCACAACGCUCGUCUCCGAAGUGGCACUCGUGGAAGCUACCCAACCGAGUAUGCAGCGUAUCUCUGUCGAGCUCAAUCAGGCUCUCUCAAGCCAAAGUUUAAGUGACCGACACUAACUGGUCUAACAAUCCACAGUCACGUGCUCUCGGCACAAUCCGAUGCCAAAAAGGCGAUAUGGGUCCACCGUCAACCCCGACGGCACUCAACAAUCCGGAACAGCCUGAACGCUACUGAAAAAAAAUACACUCGGCAUCCCAGCACGAGCGUAACAGAAAGCUAAACUAUCAGGGGUAUCCGCCGCCUCGACACUUCGACAAUACAAAAUUACAACGGCUCCUAGAGCUAAAUCAGGUAGUGUAAACAGGUGACAAGUCCAAAUCGCUGAUUUUCUCCUAAGUAAAUUUUCAAGUCCAACAUGUAUAUUUAUGGUUUACUAAUCAUGUCCUCCAUACUGAUUUCAUCCAUGAUACAAUCAACAAAAAUGAACUACAAUAUGAUUUACAAAACUGAAAAUCAUAUAUGUCGACUAAUACUGUGCUUAGGAAUAAACCGAUGUAACCCACCUCAAGAGCUAAUCCCUGACAACAAAGAACUCCCUCAGCUGCGGAACAACUUGCUGGAUCAACUGAAAUCCUCCAAGUCCAGAAAUCGAGCUAACUCCAAGCUCUACAAUCAAAAUCCAUCAAUUCUAUCCACGUAUAACAACAACAAGGUAAAAUAAGGGUUCGACCAAGCUAACCUUCACCAAAUCCUAAAAUUUUGGGCUUCGUGGAUUCCUCUUGAAGUCCUGAAUCCAAGAACCAAGUUUCGUCGCAAUCUGACACUCCUACGUCGCGUACGAGCCGAAACGCCAACGGUCGACGUAGGAAAUCUGCAAAACAGCAUCCUUGAGCUCGGAAGUAAUAAGGAAUUGAUAAAUAUCUCACCUCAACAGCGACUCUAGCACCGGCGCGACGUCGAGAACGGUGAAAACGCACCCUCGCCCGGCCUCCUCGCGAUGCUACGGCAAUAAACAGGCGCUCGAACGGCUCCGCGGCACGACGUCGGCGACGAAACAACUCCACCCGAGAGCUCCUCCACACUCGGUCCAAGCUAGAGAGAAAGAGGAGUAGAAGCCAGAGAAACUCUCUCUCUCUCUCUGCUCUACAACGUCUAAAUAGAGAGGGAGAAAAUGGGUGACACGAACGAGGUGGAAAAAGACCAAAACACCCUCUCACCUACCCUGGUGUACCGGUACACGGGCCCGCGUACCGGUACAAGAAGCCAACCCGAGAGCAGUCUGCGCGUAGCCAGUGCAGUGUACCGAUACACCAUGCUUGCUGUACCGGUACAGCAAGCAGAGAAAUCUACUAUUUGCAUAUUCUCUUGCUAAAUGCUGCUCUCGCAUCGCACAGAGUCCGUUUUGCGUCUAUUUCAUGCCAACGCGACUCAGACUUGUCCCGACACUCUCCAGAGCUGUCGACAAGCCUCAACCGCCAAAUACCAGGGAUCUUACAUAUAUAAUAGUUUUCUAUUUUAUUUAUUCUUUUUUCUUUUCAACCAAACAAAUCUAACGAAAAACUACUUUUUUUUUCCUACAAAUCAAACACUAAAGAGCGUAAAUUUAUUUUCUUCCAAAAAAAAAUUUUCACCAAAAAUUAUUUUUCACAGUUUUACGUGGAACCAUACACACCCUUACCCAAUUUAUCAAAAUGAAAAAAAAAAAUCUAUCAAUUCUUCACCAAAAUCCCACCUUUGGUUUGUUGGUUUUACUUCGUAUUCUCGAUUGUUAUCCUCUCGACCUCCAAAACCCUAAAUAAUGGAGGAAUAAACCUAUCCACCACCAUCACCACAUCCUCCUCUCGGCGCCUUUCGUAUUCCGUCACUCUUUCGAGCGCCAAAAAUUCAAACAAUAGAGGAAUCAAACUUACCCGCCACAAUCACCUCGUCUCUAUCGUGCUCUAUUCUGUCGCCUUCGUUUUGUAGCGGCACAAUGAAAAAGAUGGUGUUUAUAAUGAAAAUUAUAUGUAUUAAAUACUUAACUUUAAUUAGUUUAUGAGAUAACUUGAUAUUUUUAUUCCUCUUAUAUUAUAUUAUUGUGGCUUUUGAAGAAACAUAUGGCAAAAUUGAAAAUAUAAACAGUUCUCUAAUAGUAAAAAACUAAAGGGAUUUCUAAAGGGACUUCUAAUAUUUGAAAAUAUUAAAAGUUUUGCAGGAAAAACACAUGAAAGUUAAAUUUCGUGGAGAUAUACUUAUAGUUCACUAUGUUUGUAGAAAUCUAUAUGCAUUUAACCCAAAAAUAAAGGAAAAUGAGAAGUCUAUAAUCCGAUAAGAGUUGGUGGGAAUAACAACCUUUUUUCGAGCACCGUAAUCCCCUCCCUUCGAGUCUAAAAACUCGAAAAUAUAUUUUAGCAAUUAAAUAUAAUGAUGGGACAUGAAAACAAAAAAACUUGUCCUUGAUGGGCUAGUUGUAAGAUCUACAACCAAAAGUUGGCUGUAGUUCCCAUAUUGCUCAUCUCAAAAAUAGUAAAACAUCCAUCAAUAAUUGGAUGAUUAUGGAUUUGACUCACUAUUUUUAUUUUUUUUUUUGAGAGAUAGAUAGCAUGCUACUCACUUCGUUUAUUUUAUUUAAAAAUAAACUUAGCUAGAAAUGUGAAUCAAUUAGGAUUCGAACUUGAGUGAUUUAUAAUUGUGACGUAUAUAUUAGAGCCUGUCCAACUCAAAAAUUUAAGCUGAUAGGUUUAGCCCAAAAAUAUUUUUUAAAAAAUUAUUGCUCUUUCAAUUAUUAUUUGAUGUUGACUAUUUUCUAAAUUGAGGCUAUUUUCACAGAAUUCAUUCGCUUUGUUUUUUUUUUUUNUUAUUUUUUUUUUUGAGAGAUAGAUAGCAUGCUACUCACUUCGUUUAUUUUAUUUAAAAAUAAACUUAGCUAGAAAUGUGAAUCAAUUAGGAUUCCAACUAGGAUCCCAAAUUGCGACCUCGGAAUCCGUUUUUUUUUAUUUUUCCUAUCUCCUAAGUAAUAAGAUCAUAAAUAGUGGUGAAAAUAGAUCGCAUAAUACUAGAUCCGAUUUGAAUAUAAAUUGAGAAAACCGAAAACAAAUGAGGAUUUUACCAUUUAGAUAUUGAGUUAAAACUUUUUUUAAAUUAAGAUCUGGAUUUGAAUUGGAAGCCUAAUAUUUUUAAUUGUUUUGUAUAUUUGUUUAAUUUGUACAAAUUUUAUAAUGUCAUUAAAAUAAUAUUAUAAUUCUAAAUUUUUCGAUUGGAAUAUUGAUCUUGGUUAUUAUCUUUCAGAUAAUAAUGACUUCCUAAUUGAAAUUUGGAGAAUAUUGAAUGUCCAAUAGAUCAUAAAUUCAAAUCUUACAUAUAGAGAAAAUUAUUUGAAUAUAAAUUGAGAAAACUGGAAACAAAUGGGGAUUUUACUACUCAAAUAUUGAAUUGAAAGUUUUUUUCGUUAGGAUCUGAAUUUGAAUUGGAAGCCUAAUAUUUUAAUUGUUUUGUAUAUUUUCUUAAUUUGUACAAAUUUUGUAAUGUCAUUAAAAUAAUGUUAUAAUUCUAAAUUUUUCGAUUGGAAUAUUGAUCUUGGUUAUUAUCUUUCACAUAAUAAUGACUUCUUAAUUGGAAUUUGGAGAAUAUUGAAUGUGCAAUAUAUCAUAAAUUCAAAUUGCACAUAUGGAUAAAAUUUUAUUUUGAGUGGUUUAUAAUUGUGACUUAUAUAUUGGAGCCUGUCCAACUCAAAAACUAAAGCUGAUAGGUUUGCCCAAAAAUAUUUUAUUAAAAAAUAAUUGCUCCUUCAAUUAUUAUUUGAUGCGGACUAUUUUCUAAAUUGAGACUAUUUUUACAGAAUUCAUUUGCUUUGUUUUUUUUUAUUUUUCUUAUCUCCUAAGUCAUAAGAUCAUAAAUAGUGGUGAAAAUAGAUCGUAUAAUACUAGAUCGGAUUUGAAUAUAAAUUGAGAAAACUGAAAACAAAUAGGGAUUUAACAAAUUGGGGUUUUCGAAUCGACGAUCCAUACCGUUAAACAUGAUUUAGAGUAUUUGAAAUUUCUAGAAAAUAAAUUUCAUAAUUUUUCGAAAUCAUUAUAAAAUCCAUCAAACGGGUAUAAAAUGAACGGUCAAAAUCGAACGAUAUCCUAAAAAUAGAUGAUUGGAUCCUUCAAUUUAAGAUCGGAGUUAUUGAUCUUUAUUUAAUGAGUAUAGUGAAUAGAAUUUUUAUCAAAAAUUUAAUCCUCAUUCCUGAUUCUUUUUACAACACGAUUAAACUAAGACAAAUUUCAUAUAUCGCCCGGUUAGAAAUUGUCAAUUUUUGUGAUCUUGUGAUCGUAUAGUAAAAAUGAUAGCGAAAAUUAUUAAAAAUUUGCAUUUCUAGAAUAUUUUAAAAUGCUCUAAAAUGUCUUUAACGGUAUGUGAAUCGUUUGAAUUUGAAAGCUCUAUAUAUUGAAAACAAUUUAUGAGUACGAAGGUGAUCGUACUCAUAAGAGUUAUAAUAACUGGACUCAUUUUUACUAUUCAAAAUUUGAGUUGAAAGUUUUUUUUAUUAGGGAUUAUGAAAUUGACAUUUGAAGAGCCUAUAAAUUUUUAAUUUGUUUCUAUGUAUAUUUGUUAAUUUGGAGUAAUUUUUCUAAUUCAUUAAAAUAAUGUAUAUUAAUUCUAAAUUCUUUUCUAUUGGAAUAUUGAAUACUUGGUUAUUAUCUUUCACAAUAAUGCACUUUUAAUAAGAAUAUUGGACAAUAUUGAAUGUGCAAUAGAUCAUAAAUUCAAAUUCAUCACAUAUGGCAUUCAAAUUUAUUUUGGAGGGUUAUAAUUGCGACGUUUAUAUCUGGGAGCCUGUCAACUCAAAAACUUAAAGCCAACUAGGUUUACGCCAAAAAGUAUUUUUAAAAAAUAAUUGCUCUUGUUAAUUAUUACUUUGAUGUGGACGGGUAUAGAUAUAGAUUUUUGAAUCAAGUAAGUAAGAAAAAGUAAAAAAAAAAAAAAAAAAAAAAAAAAUAGAUAUUGACAAAAAAAAAAUUUUAUAGUUUAGCAAAUUUAAAAAAAUAUAAUUUUAUCAAAAUGAAAAAUUAAGAUGCUUACGUGAAAACAAGCUAAAAUUAGGAAAUCUCCACCAAUCCACUGUCACUUAUUAGUUUUGACUUCAUUCAAUAAUUUGUUUAAUAAUUUUUAAUACUAAAAUUUCUUUAAAAAGAGGCUAAACUCUAGAAAAAAAUUAUUAUAAUUCUAUGUAUAAAAAUAGAAGUGACACAUAGCCAUAGUUAGUUAAUUCGGAUUCGGCAAAAAUUCGGUACGGAUAUAAUGCGUAUAAAAUUUGUUUUCUAAUUUUUAAAUUCGUUGAAAAAUUUGGCUUAAAAAACGGAUUUGGUAUAAAAUAUAAAAUAUAAGAUAUAAAAUAUAAAAUAAUUUAUAUUUAAAAAUAAAAUUAUAAGUUUUUUAUUUAUAUUUUCAAUAAUUCAGCACUAAUUCGCGAAUAAUUUGCGAAUAAUUCGGCUGGCCCAAAAAUUUUCGAAUAAUUUUUUUUUCUUUCAAAAAAAUUUGUAAACAGACCGCUUAAUUCGAAUUUUCAAUAAUUCGUGAAUAAUUCGUAAAUAAUUCGCGAAUUUACUAACCAGACACAUAUCCUAUACAAAUGGGUAAAUCAUACGAAAAUUCUCAAUGGAUUUAUUUUUUUUUGCUGUACACAGUGUUGGGUCCGCAGCGUGCCACGUAGCCAACUAUUUUUGUAGGGCCCACACUCCAAAACGCGGUUUUGGAGAAACAGUUUGUAACGAUUUGACUUUCUCGCCAAGCGCUUUUGUCAACGCGAAUCUCCUCGCUCCAACAGGAAAGAAAACAGCGAACCCCUCGUGCGCAUUUUAAAACCCAAUAAUAAUAAUAAUAAUAAAAUAAUAAUGACUAAACUAUACUUUUGGUCCUCGGACUAUUAGUUUCGUAAUAUUUGAUCCUUAAAUUUUAAUUUAACAUAAUUUUGGUUUAAACUUUCUGAAUUAUUACAAUUAAGUUGCACAACUCAAAUUAGAUGGUUAAAUAUUAAUGCAUCAUUAAUGUGAAAGUAAUGUAGUUGUAUUGUGAUUGAUUAUAUAAAAAUAAUAAUUAAAAUGACACAUUACUUUGACAUCAUCGAUACGUCAAAAUUUAGCCAACGAAAUUAAGUUGUGAGACUUGAUUGCAAUAAAUAAAAAAGUUUGAGUCAAAAUUAUAAAUAAGUUAAAAUUUAAGAAUCAAAGUAUCUGUAAUUUAUCUAAACGUGAAUUGCAGAAAUACGAAGUCUACAACAUUGGGGGUUCGUAAUCUUUACGAUCCCCCAAUCCAACGGACCAAAAGAGUUUAAUUACUAACCCUUUUAUUAGUGUUUAAUUAAAAAAAAAUGAUGAUACUAAUUUUUACAACUUGGCCCUUAGCCCUUGGAAAGUUAUAAGAUUACAGCGAUAAAGGGUUGUAGGGCUAGCAUUGCUCAGGUAAAUUGCAUGGAAGGGCCCUAAUUUUUAACAUAAAGUCUCUAUUGAAUUCCUCAUCUUCCAAUGUUGCAUUAAAAUUUGUAGGUGAAUGCCCCAAAAAAGGGGUGUUCACCAAAAAAGGGGUGUAUAUUUUUCUUCUGUAACCGUAUAGUUUAUAAAUCUCUAGGAGUUUUUAGUUUUUUUUUUUUUUAUAAAAGAUAAGAGAGUAUUAUAAUCUCUUAGAUAAAGCGAUGUAAGAUUUACAUUGCUUUUCGGAGUGUAGAAAUAGCAUUCGUUUGUUGCAAUUACAUUCUUAGUCUUUAACAUGCUUUUCAGUUCAACCAUUUACUUUCUAAUUAUUGUAGUUAGGUUCUUAAUCUUCCACAAAUUUCAAUCGGGUCCCCAAGGGACCUUUUAAUUGUUACAACAAAAAUUAUUUUCAUUGACCAUCCCUAGUGCAGGUGGCAAAUAAUUUGAUGGCUAGUAUUGAGGUCCCAAAUUAGAAGCCUAAUAGCUUCACAAAUGCAGCUAAGUUCAUUUCUUAAAGAGAAAAUGAACAAAAAAUGAAUGAAAUAGGUACAUUGCUUGUUGAAUCGUUGACACUAAUCAGUAACCCCAAAAGUUCGAACGGUUAGAAAUAUAAAAUUAAUUGACGUAAAACAUACAGACACAACGCCCAUGGGUCUCGAUUGUGAUUCGGUCCAACCAAUCUCACGUCAUUUCGAACAUGACUCGGCCCAACCCGACCUCUCGCUAUUCCGAAUGCGAUUCAAUCUAACCCAACUUUCUGCCACAAGGCAAGAUACUGGUUCCUUUAAGCUGACAAUAUUAUUUUGUUCUCUCUUCAAAAGAAAAAGAAAGAUACGGUCAGUGAGGAUGCUUAGGUGGGGAGUGUACUUGGAAGGAAUCUUUUCUUGUGCAAGAAAAGGGAGGAGGAAGGAGAAGGGCGAGAUACGUGAAAGCUAUUAUGUGGGUUUGGCCUAGCUUUUAAAAAUCGCUUUUGGACUGAAAAAUAAUUUUCGGCCCAAUAGAGCGUUUGGCAACUCAUUUUUAAAAUCUGAUUCGGCUUAUUAGAAUCAGAAAACUGAUUUUGAAGGCCCCAGAAUCAGAAGCAAAAAAAAAACAGCUUCUUGAAAUAUGAUUCUGAUUUUGGAUUUAAACUUCAAAUUUUUAUUUUUAUUUUAAUUUCAAUAUUUAAAUUUAAAUUUAAUUUUAAUUUCUUACUCUUUCUCAGACUUCAUCCUUCUAAAUCUUUCCAAAUUUUACCCUUAAACUUUUCGCAAUUUUGAAAAAAUAGAUCCCUUCACACCACUCCCUCUCACAUUCUCCACAAUCCUUCUAAAAAUUCAAAUUCUCAAAUCUCAACCAUUCCUUCACAAACUUUUACAAAAUUUAACAUUUUAAUUUUAAAAUCCUUUAAAAUUUCCAUCUUCCAAUUUCACAUUUCACACAUUUCUCAAAUUUUAAAUUUUCUCAAUUUAACAUUUACAACUUUUAAAAAUUCUGGUAAUUUUACCUAUCUCACCCAUUUCAAAUUAAUUAAUUUUUAAUUUUUAAUUUUUAAUUUUUAUUUCUAACUCUUUAAUUCCUUCACAAAUUAAAUUUUGAAAUUAAAAAUUUAAUAUUUUUCUCUCACCAAUAUUUACUCUCUUACUCUCCUUUACACAUUCUCAAUCAACCUUACCUCCCCCUCUAUCUCUCUCUUACCACCAUUUAAAUUUCUCACAAACCUCCUCUUCCAACCAAUUUAAUCUCUCAACCUUCUUACAAUUACUCACAUCAUUUUAAAGUCUUAAAUCUUAAACUUCUCAAAUUUAAAGUUUGAAAUUAUAAAUCUUAAAUUAUAUAUUUUUAUAUAUUCACACAUCUCUCUCACUCACUCUCUCAAAAUUCAUGAAUCUACCCCUACUCACUUUUAAAUUCUAACUAUUUCUCAUCUUUUAAUUUUAAAUUUCCUAUUACUCUCUAAUUUUAAAUUUUUAAAAUUUUAAAUUAUUUUUGAAAUUAGAAUAUCAAAUUUUAAAUUUUGUAUAAUUUUGAAAAUUAAAAAUUUUAAUUUUCAUUCAAAUUUAAAUUUAGAUUUUAAAUUAUUUUAAAAUAAAAUUUAAUAAAAAUAUUAAUUUAUACAAACAUCAAAAAAAAAUUCCCAAAUAACUUUUCAAAAUCACUUCAGAAAAAUCACUUUUAUCUAAACCAUACCAAACGCUCUACAGCUUUUAAUCAAAAUCACUUUUCCAAACCAAAAUCUCUUUUUCAUAAAUCACUUUUUUAGAAGAUAGGCCAAACAGGCCCUAUCUCAGCUGGCUCGGACAACCAAACUUCACCUGCGAUCGGUCGCGCCACUACAACAGAAUUAGAUUAUACGGAUAUAUUUUUAAGACACUUUUAUAUAAGUGUCCCAUUAUGUCAAAUAAAAAAAAAAAAAAUCUGUUAAGACUUAAAUAUAAAGUCCAAUCCAAUCAAAAAUAAAAAGUUCUUCUAUUCAACCAACCACACCCAGCCCACUCAGCCCGAUUACAAUAAAAAAGAAAAAAAAAAAUUGAUCACCAUCUCCCCUUCUUGUCCUCCGCCGUAGCAGCCAACUAGGUAGGAUUCCGGCGGUUGGAGUUCGGCCACAAGAAUCUCGUAGAAACCGAGAAGGCUACGAUCGCAAUAUAUCCCUUCGCCACAAAUCACUGAAAGAGUAGGUGCCCAAUAUCAAAGUGGCCUUAUCUACAGCGAUCCCACAUAUAGCAACACUCUUAAGUGUCGAUAAUUUAGCCAAAAGUAUUCAAUAUUGGCUCGACCGUUUCUCACAUCCAAAAUAAAAGCUUACGGGAAAAAAAAAAUAAAGAAUUUAAUACAAAAAAAAGUGAAUUUAAAAGCACUACAACAAAGGGUUGCACUAAACUAAAAAAAAAAAAUUACUUUACAUAAAAGUAAAAAAUGGUCUUUUUAUUUUUUUUGACUGGACUGGAAUGAUAUUGCAAUACAGAAAUGUUGAGGGACUAAUUUAAGUUACUAUAUAUACAUAUCAAAAUAGUACAGGAACUGUGCAUAGAUGAUGCAUUUAAUUUGUCCUAGAUUUAAGUUAUUAGGUAGCUUAGUAUUAGAAAUUAAAUUAAACAUUUGCCUCGAUAUGGAUACGGAUCCCCGAAGAAGAAUAAAAUCCACAUCUGAUAUUUUUCAGGUACGCUUUUUGAUCGGAUCAUGUAUCAGAUUCAGGUCUGAGGUGACUACAACUGUCAUUAGGAACUAAUAUCUUGGCUUUGAUUAUUAUUAUUACUAUUAUUAUUAUUAUUAUUAUUUAAUAGAGUGAAAUCUCAUUGUUGAAAUUGUUUUCUUUCUAUAUUUUUAUAGAGAAAGAAAGGUAGCAAGCUGUGUACUUCGUUUUAGUUUCUUAAAAUAAAACUAAAUUCAGCUAAAAAUAUAAAAUAAAUUAAGUUUUGAAUUUAGAACCUCAUAUACUAAUGAUUAAAUUAUUAAUCAACUGCAUUGCCAUACUCAUUAUUGAUAAAAUUAUUAGUUGUUGGCAUGUAAAGGUGGGUACAAAAUGUUUGUAACUUCGUACCAAAAUUGAGUAGUUUGGGGCCCAAAUUAAAGGGAACUCAAGGAGUCCUUUCAUGAUGACCAUUACAAUAGGGAUUGAAUGGCCCUUCACUUUUUCACUAAUAAAAUUAAAAGUAAGAUAAAUGGUAAAAGGCAAACUACUAAAAAAAAAAAAGACAAAAAAAAAAGAAAAUUACCUUUCUUUUAUCUUUAAAAAAAAAACACCCUACAAAAAUAUUACAGUUUUGCAUAAAGGACGCAUGGGAACAAAAAAUCUUAGCAUAAGCGGUAAAAAACUUACUGAUUGACAACUGAGGUCUAAAGUUCGAAAUUUAAUUGCAUUACAUUUCUAGAAAAAUUUAUUUCUAAAAAAAAAUAAAUAAAUUGGCAGUACAUUUAGUAGAUCCAGAUGUAAAUUUUAAAUCAAAUGAAAAGAAAAUUAAAGAUCUAGAAGUUUAACUUUUUGCUUUCGAACUUGUUAAAAUAGCUAGCUGACCACUCUAGAAACUUAAACCGCUAGAUAAUAAUAAUUUAAUAUUUUAUAUUCAACAUAUACGUAUUUUUGCAGUCGUUGCUAUUAAUAAAGUAGAUAAAAUGAAAUCUUUUUAGUAUUUGUGCGGUAAACUUGAUUAUAUUCAGUAUAUUUCUUCUAAUAAUAAUAAUAAUAAUAAUAAUUUCUGUCACUUCCCGAUCCGGAAGCUUAGUGGGACACGCCACGUACUUGCGACAAACACAAAGAUAAUUAAUUUGCAACCCUUGUAGGCAUCGGGACACAGCAAUCUAGAAUAAUAGCACAUGAUAAAAAAUUUGUAUAGAAAGUGCCCAAUGAAAAUAACAUAAUACAUGAGUUUCCAUAUCCAACAAAUAAAAUCACAAUUCCAAUUAGAAUAUUAUAAAUCCAUGCACCUACAACUUAUUUGUGGGAACUCUACAAUUCUAUUUUAAUUUGACCAUCCAGCUAAAAGGCUAACUAGUCAGUCUCAUGGCCUCACGUUGUAUCACGCCUAUUCCCACUAGAUGUACCUGAAAAAUAUGGUACAUAAUAGAAUAAAAUAGUAUAAUAAACUUUUCAAUAGGUACAACGAGCUGGCGGAGACAAGCUAUUAAUUACUAUCAAUCUAACCAGAAAGAGUACAACAGAAACAGAAAUAGAAACAGUAAUAUAAAUAAACGAUCAGAAAAAUGAGCAUUCCAGUAAGAAUAACUAAUGCUAUAACUGUUAUCCGGCGAAUAGUCAGUGAAUGAAGUGAAAGGUACAAUUGGAGAUCUAGUUUAUGCAUCAAACUUAAUAUACGAAGUCUCAAAUUUAUCUUUGAUCCAACCAGCAGGGUAUGUUCUUUUCGAUUCGGUGCCAUAGAAUCUAAUCGCAACUGUCUAAGCUCAAUGUGAAUCACUGCCUAGCAGGUCGAGUCGCAACCACUCUUUAGAAAGAGCCCACCCCACCACAAGAUUGCAAUCUUAUACGACAGUAGUAAAUAAAUAGCAUAGAACACAGUGACAAGUCGCCAUGCUUAUGAUCAAGGCUCCAACACAAUAACAAAAACACUAGUCCACAACUACAAGUUGUCGACAAAAAUAAUAUCCAAGAGCCAAACCAAAUUGUAUAACCAAAACUAAGUGUUUGUAUAGAGAUAUCAUGAUAGGAAUAAUCCUCAACGAAACAUGCUUACUACUCAUGCAUAUAUAACGAAAUAAUAAUUUAGAUAUAUUAUAACAAGAACAGAUGCAGUUAUAAAAUUAAACAAAUUAUAUCAAUACCACAUCUCAAUAUAAAGAUUGAAAAACUGACAGGAAGGAUUAUCCCAACUUAAAGACCAAAAUCAUAAAUAAAGAAGGAUAAAAGUCAAGUUAAGUAGUAAAAACUCUAACCACACAAGUCCAAAAAGGAAUUCACUUACUUCAAGUCAUUUCCAAACCAAAAGUAAGCAAGUAUUUCCAUUAAAUAUCUACUAAACCAUUUUUUAAUAUAAUAUUUAUAAUGGUUUAUACUUACAUUUGAUGUUAAAUUUAUUAAUUGUUAGAUGAGAAAUGGUGAAUCUUAUUUAUAUUUAAUACUUCGUUUUUAAUAUAAUACGAUUAAUCCCNAAUUGAUAAGGAUGCAUGAGGUUAGAGUUACACGUGGCAUCCUUAUCCACUACUAGUCUACCAACUCAAAUAAAAACAAAAUUAAGGAUACUACACCCUUAUUCUCAGAUCAACAAUACGAGAUUAUUAUUUUUUCUAUUAAUUUUUGAACAAUACUACUGUUACAUCUAAAAAAAUAUAUAUUAAUCUUAAAUUCUCUCAUUCAUGAGUUCAUAUUGUGCCCUUAUAUAUUUUGUCAAAAAAUUAUACUAAAAAUCUAUAAAAAAAAUUCUAAAUGUAGGAUAAAGGAGCGUAAAAAUUUUAAUUUCUUUUUGGGUCUAAAGUAAAAGUAGUAUUUAUUUUUUUAAAAAAAAGGACGAAGGGAACAAGGGUGAGAAAUAUAUAAUAGGAAAAAUAGACCGUAUUAUUGUUAUUUUGCAAGAUAGUCCUUUCUACUUUAUAAAAUUACAAACUAUUAACUUUGGACCAUAUAUUAAUCAUAUGGUUUUCUACUGGUUUGUUUGAUCCUAAAUUCGAACUUUGAAUUAAUUUAAAACUCUCUAUUACUAUAGAAAUUUUUAAUUUAAUUUUUGAUUAUCUAACUGUAGCGAUCAAAUUUUUUCCUUCUAUUUUCUUUUAUUACAAAUUUUUCGGAUAAAAAUUCUUCAUCUGAAUUAAUUUUAUCCGUAAAUAUCGUCUUAUUUAACAUUUAAUAUAAUUUGAUUAUUUCCCUCUCCUCUCAUUAACAUAUUUAAUUUGAUUAUGAUUUAGAGUGCACUCCCAUCAAUUCAAACCCUUUAUCACGAUGGGUCAUCACCAAUUCUUAAAACUAUGUUAAAAGGCUCGAAGCAAUCCAAAAUUUUAAUAUUCUUAUACAUACAUAUCCAAUAUAUUUUGGAAUAAUUGCAUAUGAUUUCUUGCAGAAAUAUCAUAUAGAAAGUAAAUUUUUACAAAAGUUGAGUGAUCAAAUUUGUGACUCCAAAAAUCUUUUUGUUUGCAAAUAUAUCUUUCUGUUAAAAAAAAUAUUGAUAACGAUGAGUAAAAAAAUAUAAUAAUAAUAACUACGGUUAGACAAAGAGUAAAAUGACUUAUUUACCUGAGUAGAACUACUAUGCUAAGCAUAGAGAAUCCGGUGCUUCCGAUUUUUUGGCACUUAGAUCAACUCCUUUGAUCAUUUCUAACAUUUGGAUUAAUACUAUUACUCUGUGGGGACCACUCAACCCUAAGGGUACUAUUCAACUCUGGAGGAAACCGCUAUCGAUCAUUCCAACCGCAUAAUUUUUGAUCCAACGGUCAAAAAGUUGGAAGCAUCAGAUUCUCUAUACUUUCCAUAAUAUAGUAGCUCUACACUAUUUACCUCUUAUAUAUAUAUAUAUAUAAUUUGUACAAUAUUGAGUUCUACCACCUUUCCCUCCUCUUCUCUUUGCCUAUGUCAGUAGCGAGGCCUAUAGUGCUGAAGGCAUGGCGAGGGCUUGGCGCAACGAAGAUGAGAUAUAUCGCACGGUUGGUUGUGAAGGUAAGGGAAGAGAGAAAGAAAAAUAGCUUCUUUCAGGACAAGUUUGUCAGAGCAAAAUUAUAAUUUCACGUAUCCACCGUCAGAAAAUUAAUUGUGGAUUAAACUAUAGGAACAAAUAUAAACGUAUCAAAACUUUUCGAUGGAUAUAUUUGCAAAUAAUAAAAUUUUCGAAAAGAUAAAUUUGAUUAUUUAAAUAUUAUAAAAUUUUACCUGCUAUUCGAGACCUUUGCAAGGAGCUUAAACCAGCAUCUUUAUCACUCACAAGUGAAGAAAUUUAGAACAAAAAUAAAAAUUAUUCUAUAUAUUAUUUUCUAUUUGAAUAUAUUUUUUUGGAUUGUUAUCAACUAAAUAAGUUUGCUGGUGCUAAUAGCUUUCAAUUGCGAUGGUAUUCUAGAAGAACUAUAAUGGCUCGAAUUCGAACUCAUAAAAAAUGACGUGACGGAAAGAUUUUUAUGGAGUGUUAGGACGUCUAUGAAUAAGACUCCAAUAUAAAUAAAUAAAUAAGAUUUUUUCUUUACCUUUUUCCCAAAAUAUGAAUUUCCUAAAAAAAAAAUUCAUUUUUUCUUUUUAUCCUGAACACAAAAAAAAAAAAAAAGGCAAAACCUACCUAACAUGGAGGUGCUGAGAUGUCAUAUCUAAAAUACCCAGGGGCAAAACGGUCAAAUUAACGACCAGGCCAUUCACACUGCUACAAAGCUAGUAAGUGGCGGGUUUACUUUUUCACUUCACACUUUAUUACAGGACGGAGCCUACCUCAUCCAAGUGAAUUUCCAAUUUUGCCCCUCUUCUCACCUAUAAGAACCUAACUCCCUCCCCUCAUCUCUCUCCAAGAAACUGCUCCAUAAAAGUACAGAUUUUGGGAGCAAAUUCACUCCCAAUGGCUUCUUCUACCGAGAUUUUCGGCGCACUUCGGUAUCAAAAAUCUCCACGUUUUCAUUCUCCGAACUCUCUGCACCUCCGCAGCCGCGCGAACUACCUCUAUUUUCCCCCUGCUUCGCUUCCUUUGAAGCAGGGGAGGGGGUACGGCCCGCGAAAAUCGCGAAAGGUCGCGACUUCCGCGACGGCAACCGAGGAUAAGGCGGUGAGGGUGGAGACGGAGAAGCCCGCGAAGCUGAGAAUAAGCGCGACAGUGACAGUGAGGAGGAAGAAGAAGGAGGAUAUCGUAGAAAUGAUCACGAACCAAAUCGACACGUGCGCAGAUAAGAUGGGCCGCAGUGUUGUCUUAGAACUCGUUAGCACCGAAAUCGAUCCAAGUACGCUUAUGAUUUCUACGGGCUUUGAAAAAAAAAUUUGAUUCAAGUUUUGAUCUUUAUUAUACCACUGUUCAUGCUUAGAAUCGUACAAGGUACAGGUUUUCAUUGUAACGGCUCCAGCUAUUUGUUGACUUUUUCUGCACCUUUGACUUAGUUUUGAUGCAUGCAUGUAGCGCUAUCUCAUUGAGCAUUUAAUUUAAUAACAAUAUUGUUCUCCAACACGGUGUGCAUAGUCGUAACAUAUCACACGGAUCAUACUGAUUCAGCUAAAAUAUAAAUUUAUAAUAAAUAGUUUGUAGAGAUUUAUUUUUAAAUAAAAUUUUAGUUAUAAUUAGCUCUUCUUUUUGUGUAUUUAAGUUACUAAGGGUCCGAAAACAAGCAAACAGGCCGAGCUGGUGGACAAGUCCGAGAAGAAGGACGUAAAGGCCCGACAAGUCGUGUACAUCGCUGAGUUCACAGUCGAGUCCGACUUCGGCGAGCCGGGUGCGAUCACGGUCCUCAAUCGGCACCACAGGGAGUUCUUUCUGGAGAGUGUUGUGGCCGACGGCUUCGAUAGCGGGCCGGUCCACUUCACUUGCCAAUCGUGGGUCCAGCCCGCCAGAAUCCAGCCCAAGAAGAGGGUGUUCUUUACUAACAAGGUCAACUCUUGCUCCUUCCUAGAUGCACUAAAAAGCUGUCUGGUGCACGCGGCUGCAACUGCACUAUAGUUUUAACUAUGUUCAUAUUUAAAUUCAGUAUUUGAUUUGAUAUAAUUGAAUUCAACUAUUGCAUUAAAAUUAUGAGUUGUAAAUUGGCCGCAAUUCUAACUGCAGUCGUUGAAAAAAUAAUAAUAGUAACUAAUCGUAUCUACUUAAUCAUCUUUUACAAUUCUAAAUCUUUGCAGCACUUUCUACUAAUUCAUCCAACUAAAUGAAAUAUAUAUAGCCGUAACUAUUAUGUUUUUAAUUGCAUGCAUUUUCAAGUGUACUAUACUCAAAAUUGCAUUCAAGCAAAUGCCCCUAACUUCAAUUGCAAGUAACUUUGGAUUGGCCCUUACAAAAGAAAACUACUCAACCAGUCAAUUUAAUUACUUUCUCCAAAAUUUUAGGCUUCUAUACCUACACUCUCCACAUUGCUUUUUUCGUAGUUCGUUCAUAGAGCUCAGAAAGGUUAAACAUGUUAACAAACAGAUCACCAAAAAUAAUACACCAUAAGAGCCAAAAUAUUUUUUAAAACACUAUCUUCUAGUUGUACGGAUGUAUCAAGUUAUGUAUUUUGAGGCUAAAAAAUUCUAAAUAUCGAACUAAUGAAUCUUUCGGCCUUUUGUUAUGUGAAAAACAGCCUUAUUUGCCGUCAGAGACACCCCCUGGGUUAAGAGAGUUGAGAGAGCAGGAGCUAAAAGAGUUGAGAGGAGAUGGGACGGGAGAACGAAAGCUCACAGAUCGGAUUUACGACUACGCCACUUAUAACGACUUGGGUAACCCGGACAAGGGGACGGAGUAUGCUCGUCGAGUGCUCGGAGGAGAUCGAGUUCCUUAUCCGCGGCGAUUGAGAACUGGGAGGCCCCCGACUAUUUCAGGUAAACUAAUGGCUUAAGAUUUAUAAGUUAUAGCUAAGCGAAUAAGAUCUUGUUUGGCUCCGCUUCUUCUGCUUUAGCCAUUCAUAAUUCUAAGUCCAAAUUAGCUGUUUGGUUAGAUUCUUAUAAGUGUCCACAGGUUGGGCAAUCAUAAUAUAGCACCGGAUUUUAUGUUAUUUACUACGUACCGUACUAUUGUGUGGUCCAUUUUAGUACCACACAGUUGGAUCUGAUAGGUUCUAAGUUUUUAAGGACACUGAAGGUUUCAUUUCAUCUCGUUCAUCGCUCAACAAAUAGCAAAAGUGGUUAUUUGUAACAUGAAUUUAAGAUCGAAUUGGAAAUUGUCAUUCGAAUAAAAUUAGAGGCAAAUAGCUAGAUUAAGUUUACAAAUUCCCAGCAUAUUUUAGAUGUGUGAAGAGUAUAUCAUCAUGAACACGUUUUAAGAAAUGAUUUAUUGAGCAACUAUCACAAUUUUGUGUGGGAACUAGUUGAACGCACACAACAUCAAUAUCUUAACACAACUUUUGCGAGAUGUCCUCAGCAUCCACUAUUAUGUUGAGAAUUAGAUGGUGGAGACAAUUUAGAACAAUUUAACUAGAGAGCAAGCGCAGUCCGAAAGCGUUUUUCCACUCCAAAACCCUUUUUUUGUCGAGUGAUCACAAACGCAUGGCAGUGGAGCUAGGUAGGAAGGGUUUUUUUUUUUAAGAAAAAUAUAGUACACUAUCCACUUUAUUCAAUAGAAAAAUAAAUUUUGCAUCGAGAUGGAGACAGUUGAGACAUCACAAAACAAAAGGGAAAAGAGCACGCAAAAAAAAAAAAGGGUACACAAAAAGGAUCAAGAGAAAAAAAAUUAAAGUGUCGAAUGUCUGCCAAAAUUCUAACGCGAGUUUUUAAUUACUUCUGUUUUUAAAAAUAAUAUUAUUUCUUUCCAACCAGAUAGAUAACUCUCCAAGUUGCCAAAUGUCUAGUGAAAUCGUCAAUCAUCUUAUGUACAUCACAGUAUAUAUCAUGUGCUUUGGCCCUCCCAUGCACCAUGCUAACACCUUGGGCCCAGCAUUCAUCCCAACAACCACUCUCUCAAACUCAUGUAGCUUAUUUUGUCCGGAACUUAAAUUAGAUUCACUCCAUAACUAACAACCAGGCAUUUGCAUUUGCAUUUGCAUUUGCUGCCUCUUGCAAGCAAAGCGCAGGACCCAACAAUCAAAUCAUCUACAGGAGAGUCUAAAUAGAUAGGAGUUUUUGUGAGGAAUUUUUAAGGAAAAUAUAGGCAGAUUCAGAAGCAUGUACAACUGAUAAAUAAGAAAGAAGAUAAGAAUUUAACUGUGGUGGAUUUGAAAUAGUUCUAGGAUUAAACCUCUUAAUUCGACUAUAGCAUUAAUUUUGAACGGUGGUUAAGCUUAAAAAGUUAGAAAAGUUAAACGUAUUAGGAUUAGAAUAAUUUUAGAAUGAAUGAUUCUUGUGAGAAAUGAGAUAUCUCAGUCUCGUGGACCUAGAAAUACAUGACCCUAGGAUUACAUGUUUAUUAGUACUGCUACGUACAGAUCUCCUAUAAUGUAGGCCGCGUAUAUAUUGUUAAUAUAUAUAUAUAUAUAGAGAGAGAGAGAGAGGAAAAGUAGGACUACGAUACUUUUAUGAGUAUAUAGCUCUUUCUACUUAUAAGUUGUUUUCGAUGAUAGAACUUCCGAAUCAAUGGUUCACUUCAUUAAAUAUGAUCUAGAAUAUUUGAAACUUUUAAAAAAUAAAUUUUAUAAUUUUUUAAAAUUAUAAUAUAGUUCAUAAAGUGGGCAUAAAAUAAAUGGUCAAAGUCAAACGAUGUCUUAAAAAUGGAUGAUUGGAUUCUUUAAUUUAAAAUCCGAGUUAAUUAUUAAUCUUUAUCUAGAUAGUGAAUAGAAUUUUCUAUCAAAAUUUCAACCGAUUUUAAUUUUUUUUAUACCGUUAAACUAACAAGUAUCUCAUACCGGUCGUUAAAAAUUAUCAAUUUUGAAAUCUUUUGCUCGUAAGGUAAACGAUGUCAAAAAAUUAUAAAAUUUGAUUUCUAGAAGUUUUAAAUGCUCUAGAUAACAGUAUGGAUUGUCGAUACGGAAACUCUAUCAUUGAAAAUGACCUAUGAGUUCGAAAGCAAUAUCAUACUCAUAAAAAUAUAGUAGAGGGCACAUCAUCGAGUUUCCCACCGUUAGAUUUAACCCUUUGAUUAUUUUUAUCCGUUAAAUUAUACUAUUCAACCAUUAAUUCACUCAAUCUUAGAGGGCACAUCAUCGUAACUGUACAUUUUUUCAUCCAAUGACCUAUAACCUAAUAGUACCAAUUGCUCGACACUAUUGAUAGUAUUCCGGUCUAAUUUAUAUAUAUAUAAAAGAAUUUGAUUGAGCACAUCCAGCCACUCAUAAAUGCGACGUUACGGGGGGAACCCACGGCGAUGGUAGGGUCGUCUGCUCGGAAGGGAAGAUGCAUUCAACGUCCGGCAAAAGACAGCUCAACAUCGCGUCAAUUAUGCAACAAAAAAUUAUGGAUCCUGUGCGUCCUGACACCAACAAGUGACGGUCGGAUUUAAUUGUGCGGGCCCCACGUAAACACAAACGGUACUGUGCAUGGAGAUCAGGGAUUUAAUUGAAUUGUACUGUAAACGAAACCGCGGCCGCAGAUUCGCACGGUGGGUUCGCGUACCUGAAAGAGACUUGACGGCGAAAGUCGACGUGUCCGCAUCUGGGUCGUUAAGAUUUUUUGUGGUGUUCUUUUGAUUGAUUUUUUAAAAAAAAUUUUUGGGUGCCAAAGUGUUUUUUUUUUUUAACUUAUUAGCAUGCAGAAAUUUUAUUUACAAAUGCAGUACUAUUUUAAGGAUCCGAUGCAUUUUUAAAAAAAAAAAUUUUAAAAGGGUGGUGAUGAGCUAGUAAUACCGAAAUCUUUAUCACUAUCGUGUUUUAAGUUUGAUAUAUAUAUAUUUGUAUACUAUAUAUAAUUGAACUUUUAUAUUUUUAAAAAUAUCAAGUUAUUAAUACUUUUAAGUUUUCUGCUCUUUUUUUUUUAGAGAUAGGUAGCAUGCACGCUAUCCGCUUCGUUUAUUUUAUUUAGAAAUAAACUUAGCUAGAAAUGUGAAUCAACUAGGAUUCAAACUUGGGACCUCGGGUACCAACCACCAAGCCCUUUGUUAUUUGCUCUAGAGACGAUCAGUAAGUUUUCUGCUCUUAAAUUAACAGAUGUACGAUUAGAAUGAUAGUGGUUUUAUAAGGUUGAGUGGAUAGUUGUUUGAAUAGUAUGAUCUAACAGAUAGAAAUGGUCAAAGGGAUAGAUCUAACGGCGGAAAACUCAAUAGCACAAAUCGCUCGGUGUUAUCGAUAGUAUAGUAGCACAAAUCGCUCGGUGUUAUCGAUAGUAUUAGAGACAUUUUUUUGGUUUUUUUUUUUCACUUUUUAUGUUGGAGAAUUUAUUUCUUGGACUUCAUUUAAAUGGAUAAUAAGCAAUUUUUUGUAUACAAAUUUAUUUGAUGAUUGAAACAAAAAUAUUAAUAAUUGCCAUGCAAAAGAGCUUAUUAUCACGAUCUUAACGUUUUUGUUCGCAAAGACCGUGCAGCGCCCGCCUUCCUAUUUGAAAAUGGGCAAGUCUAACUCCUUAUUAGGGCUGGCAAACGAGCGAGCCGGCUCGCGUUCGACUCGUGUUCGGCUCGAUAUUCGACUCGAAAUUAAAUGAGCCGAGCUUCAACAAAAUAAAAGGCUCGAAAUUCAUUUCAAGCCGAGCUUGAGUAUUACUCGGCUCGUUCGAAUUAGGCUCGAAAAGCUCGAAAACCUCGAAUAUAUAUAUAUAUAUAUAUAUAAUGUAUUUUAAUUAUAUAUAGGCUUUAAUUUAAUUUGGGUCAUUAUUGUUGGCCCAUAAAAUAAACCCAACAAGUACAACCGUACAAUUGAGCCCAACACUAAAUUUACAUAACAUACUCUUUCUUUCAGACUUUCACUGCUGCACAUAACCCUAAAAUAUGAUAACAUUCAUAUUCCCAAAUCCCUAAUUUUUUUUCCCCUCUCUCUCUCUCUCUCUCUCUCUCUCUCUCUCUCACAGACCCUCACCCAGUCAGGCAGUCACCCUAUCUCACAUUUCUUGCAAUUAUUUUGUAUUUUGAACUAUUGGAUAUGUUGCAUCAAAUUGUAGGUAAUGUUAUAUAAAAAUUAAACUAUUGAUUAUAUAUUGUCGAGAAUUUCAAUCGGCUCGUUUAGAGCUCGAGCUCGGCUCGACUCGAAAUUAGGCUCGCUCGAGCUCCGCUCGAAUUAAUUUCAAGCCGAGUUUGAGCCUAGAUUUAGGCUCGAAAUUAAUUUCAAGCCGAAUUUGAGCUGACAUAAGCUCGCUCGAGCUCGGCUCGUUUCCACCCCUACUCCUUAUUGCUAGUCUGGACCUUCGCACCCUACGACUAAGAAUGCAAAAAGAAGAGAAAAGAGAAGGACAGAGAUUUUCGAAAAAUUAAAUACUUCACUAUUUAGAAAAAUAGGACUACAAUGCAAAACUCCUCUUGUAUCUCAAUCUUCUACUUCUACUUUGGCCUUAGCCAACCCUUAUACUUAUAAGCUCCUAAAUACAUUGAAUUUAGUAUACACUAACUCACCAUUAAGCACACAUUAAAACACACAUUAACUCACCUACUAUCACAUAGUAAUGAGCUGCCCAUGUCUCUUGGGUUUUCGCCGGCGGUUGUGGAGGCAUUAAUUGCAGCAAUUACAUAACCCUUCUUCUCAAAUAAAAGACCGCUGAUUUUGGGCAUUCUUAACAACCCGUUCCACUAGCAAAGAUAGGCCAGGAACUUGGCCGCAUUGAAAAAUCGUUGAAUCCCUGAUAUUAUGCUACAUUUUGACUGGUUUGGUUCUCAAAUAACAUGGUAGGAAAAGCGCAAGUGCAGUAUUUUUUAAAAUUUAGGCCUAAAGUGGGUAAUAGUAAUGAAAAAUGUAUGAACCAAGUCACAAAAUAUCUCGAUAAUUAAAAAGCCGUUAAAGUUUCUGAUUAUAUGGAUAUUUCGAGUAACAUAGUAUUAGAAUCAAUUCUAAAUUUCUAUCGUUCUAUAUUUAAUCUCUACCUUCAGCAGCUAAUUUUUAUUUAUAAAAAAAUCAAUCUUUUGAGUAGCAUGACCUGCUCUGAAAUUAUUUACAUUUCUUUUUUUUUUCUUUUCUCUAGACAUUCAUACAGAGAGUAGGGUGGAGGAACCCCAGCCGAUGUACGUACCGCGACGAGGCAUUCGAGGAGGAGAAGCAGGAGAUGUUCCGUGCGGGCGAGCGCAGGGCGAAGCUCCACGGCCUGCUGCCGUCGAUCGUCGCAUCCCUACGCUCGUUGGAAACCGGCGACGACGACUUUCGGGGAUUUCAUGAGGUGGACAGCCUCUUCAAAGAAGGGCUAGGUUCAAACCGGAGCUUGUUUGAUCACAUUCUCCACAAAGUUCCUUUCGUUAAAGAGAUUCAGGAGUUCGCCGAGGGAAUGCUCCGUUUUGACACUCCCCACAUCAUAGCAAGUAAGUUGAAAGAAAAAAUAUGGUUGAUGCAUGUUUUAUAAUGCCACAUACUUAAAUUUUUUUUUUUCUCACAAGUGCCUGUUUGAUCGAACUUCUUGGUUAGUUCUUUUACACUCGAAACGUAAUUGUUGAUGCGAUAAAAAGUUUUCUGCAUUUCGGGUUCAACACGAAAAAGAACUAAAAUUUAAAAGUUCUGGACUAAAAUUUGUAAGCAACUUUACUCGAACAGCAAUUCUUUAUAAGCUCCAGGAGUGAAAAUAGGUCGUCAUAGGUGUAAAAGCGAAGGAUUUCAAAAUAAUAUGUGAAAAGUUAAAUGCAAAUACACAAAUUUUAUAUAUGUAUUAUAGCCCAAUUUGAAAUGAGAAUGCGAGUUCUAAAUAUUUUGCUUUUACUAUCUAGGAAUAGUCAGUAACUUUUUUUUCUAAAAUAAGACCAUUGAAUUUCUAAAAUCUAGAAAAAACACAAGUUUGAUAGUACAAUUAAAUGUUUUGUAAUUUAGAAUUCAUAUUUCAAAAUAAGUUAUAGAUUGCACGUUUGGCCCUUAAAUUGAGGCAUGCAACACUUUGAUCUUUAAAUUAACUUUAAUUUAUUGUAAUUUUUAACUCGAACUUUCAGGAUUGUUGCGAUCAAGUCCAACAAUCCAAUUUCGUUAACUAAAUAUUGACUCACCGCUUAUGUAAAAUUGAUGAAACAUCCUAAUUCUUCGCUUAUUACUGAUCACGAAACUGCUGUAUUAUUUUCACAUUAACAAUUCAUUAAUAUUUAGUCUACUGAAUUAAGUUAUAAAUUUUAAUUUGCAAUAAUUCUAGAGUUCUAAUAAAAAAUUAUUAUAGUAAAUUAAAGUUUAACGAACAAACUUGGCAUCUCCAUGAUUGUUUGAGGACAAUAUGUGCAAUUUAUCCCAAAAAAGAAAAAGAAAAAGAAAAGUUACUGUAGUGGUUACUGUGGUACUAUGGAGUGUCUACUUGUGUCCAAGUUUCAACAUUUUAAUGGAUAAAAAUAAAAACUACAUCAUCAUGAGCUUUUCGGGUGAAUCAUUAUAAUGCAAUUUAGUAGGUGGUGACUAAUUGGUACGCUUUAUCAUUUUGUGUAGGAACAAUAAUAUCUAGGUUCAUAAUUUUAAAUAGAUCUAGUUAUUAAAGAUAACUAUUGAAUUCAACAAUAAAACUUAGUAAAAAUAAUUUUAUAGAUAAAAAAAAAAAAAAAUACUUCAAAUAUCGUACUUGUGAUUUUGUACUUUCUCACUUAGUACCUUAUGAUUUAAAGUGUAUCACUUUCGUACCUGUAGUUUUAUCUUUCUCUUUUUGUUAUUCCUUUUACUAAUUUUUUUUGUUAAAUUAGUGACAAAUUUAAAAUUAAAGAAUAUUAAAGUGAAUANUGGUUUUAUUUUUUUCUUUUUGUCACCCCUUUGUUAACUUUUCGUUAAAUCAUAUAUAAAAAAAUUUCAGAUAACUUUUUGUUAAAUCGAAUACCUGUAGUUUUAUCUUUCUCUUUUUGUUAUUCCUUUUACUAAUUUUUUUUGUUAAAUUAGUGACAAAUUUAAAAUUAAAGAAUAUUAAAGUGAAUAUUAAAUAAACUACUGGUAUUCGAUUUAACAAAAAGUUAUCUGAAAUUUUUUUAUAUAUGAUUUAACGAAAAGUUAACAAAGGGGUGACAAAAAGAAAAAAAUAAAACCACAGAGUACUAAAUUGAUAUACUUUAAACUACAGAGUACUAAAGUGAAAAUGUGCGAAAUCACAAGGGUGGAAAUUAAAGUUUACCCUAGAUAAAAUUACUUACAGGUGCUGCAAUACAAUUCUAUAAUUUUAAUAAAAUUGCUGCUGGCUAAAUUAUUAAGUUUGAUAGUAUUAGUAAAAUAGAAAAUCUCUAUAUCUAAAACUUUUAAUCUAUUUUUUGAGUUGCAAAUUAUGGAGAUGUUUAACUGCUUAAUAAUGUGAUACGACUACUCAUUUAGAUGGUCCAAAGCUCUAACCAAUUAGAUGGUCCAUAGCCUAUAUAUGUUUUACAAAUUUCAAAAGUAUUCUUUGUGGUCCAUUAGUACGAAGGAUAAGAUUACGCCAAUUCUUCGAUAGGUGUUCUUUUUGGACCAAUAAUUUUCUCGCACCAUAUUGGCGUACUUUGGAAUAAGUUUUGGCUCACUAUACUUCGAUUGUUUUAGUGGUGUUAGUCCUCAAUUAAUGUGAAAAUAUUUUAUCGAUUAUUCAUGCAACAUUGAAAUUCAGUGGUUUACAUGAUUAACCGCAUAUGGAACAAUUUCACAUUCAGAAGAUCUUUUCUCAAAAAGAAGCGGAGUUUGGAAUCUUUUAGCCAAUUUAGAUUUGAUCGUAUCGUAAGAUAUUUUUGAAUACAUUGGUGUGAGUUCCUUAAAAUGUUGUAUUUAUAUUUUGAUUACAGUUAUUUAUGAUGGGAAGAAUUUUAAUUAAUUCAUGCGCACAUUUUAAAAAUAUUAUAUUAGCCAAUUCAUUUUUAAUUUGGAAGGAGCCUUUGAUAGUUAUUAAUCGUCACCAAUUAUCACUCACGUAAGUCGUCGAAAAUUACUGUAGCCUAGGUUGUACAUGAUCCGGGAAUUGGCACGUGGCAACAGCUCAUAAGAUUACUACACCCAAUCAAUGCAUGCCAUGUCAUUAUCCAGGAUUUUCUGGGACCCACCCAUUUUAACAAAUUUUAUUUAGAUUUCUUUUAGUGUUCAUUUUAACUUUUAAAAGUUAGCAUUAAUCACCCGAGCAAGCACUUCAUUGAAAAAAAUAUAUAUUUGGAUUCAUAUUAAUGUUAUAAUAAAGAUGAGAUAAUUAUCUGUAAAUACGUUAUCGCAGAUGACAAGUUUGCAUGGAUGCGCGACGAUGAGUUCGCACGCCAAACACUCGCCGGCAUUAACCCUGUCAGUAUAGAGCGGCUCCGGGUAACUCUCCACGACUUCCAAGAGCAUAAUUUUCGUCAUUUGAAAAAAAAAUUUACCCAAAAUAUCUUCAGAUGUUACGAGUGUGCUUAACAAACUUUAGGGAUAUGAUCUAUUAAAUAUAAAAACAUAUAAAUAUUAUUCUCAAACAACUUAAACUUUGAGGGACCGUUUGGUUAGAUGUAGUUAUAAAUACAGUGUAGUUAGAGAUACAUGCAGUUAGAAAUACAACAGCUAUAACUACAUGAAUCUUAUUUAGUUGGAUGUAACAGAAAGCGCUGCAAGUAUAAAUAAUUUGUUUAGUUGCAUGCAGUUGAGAAAUAAUUUUUAAAAUUUUAUUAUUUUAUAUAUAUGAUGGUGAGAUUACCUCCAAUGUAAAAAAUAAUAAUAAUAAUUUUUGUUUAAAAAAUAUUGAGGAGGUAAGUAUAUCUUUUAUUUAAAAUUACUCUCUCCAUCUGCUGUAGUUGGAACUGUGGGCCAAUUUGGGCGUAGUUCGAACUGCUACAGUUGGGCCUCCUCCUGCAAUUCCUCCUGCAACAGUAGGAGUUAAAUAUAUCAAAUCAAACACGAAAUUUGUAUUUACAUACAGUUACAACUAUAGUGCAGUUACAACUACAUGCAACCAAACGGUCCCUUAGAGCACAACGGUUGAUUAACAUAGUAUCAAACAUGAGGAAAGUGUUAAAUAUAAAAAUAUAUAAAUAUUGUUAUCUAACAAUUUAACCUUUUAGUCUAGAGUGGUAACUUAAAGUACAGCGAUUGUUUCACAUGAUCGCCUUUUCAGGUGUUCCCACCUGUUAGCAAACUUGAUCCGGCUACCUAUGGGCCUCCUGAAUCUGCCAUCAGAGAAGAACACAUCAUCGGCCAUUUAGAGGGCAUGUCAAUUCAAAAGGUGAUUAUUCUAUUUAUUGAAAAUUUUAAUUUUUAUUAUCUAAUUUUUAUUUCUAUAUAUGUUUUUUUUUUUUCGUAUAUUCAUUUUCUUUUAAUACCGUGGCAGGCGUUGGAGGAGAACAAAUUAUACAUUUUGGAUUACCACGACACCUACCUUCCUUUCAUCGACCAAAUCAACGCGCAAGACGGCCGAAAGGCCUACGCAACUCGCACGCUAUUCUACCUGACGGAUCUCGGGACCCUGAAGCCGAUAGCGAUCGAGCUCAGCCUCCCUCCGAUGACCAAGAACUGCCCUCGCGCGAAGCGCGUCCUCACGCCGCCCGCCGACGCCACCACCAGCUGGUUGUGGCAGCUGGCCAAGGCCCAUGUUUGCGCCAACGACGCGGGCGUCCACCAACUCAUCAAUCAUUGGUAAAUGAAAUAUAAUAGGACAUACUCUUUCUGAUGUCAUGUCACUUUAAAGAUCAAGUACGAUGGAUGGAACCGUCACAGAUUUGAAAUCUUUUUUUUUUUUUUCUUUCUUUUUUUAUUUAUGAUCGAAUGUUUGUAACCGAGUUUGAAAUAUUUGGGGUACAUAGGUUGAGGACGCACGCGUGCGUGGAGCCGUUCAUAAUAGCUGCGCAUCGGCAGUUAAGCGCGAUGCACCAGCUGCUGAAGCCUCACAUGAGGUACACCCUGCAGAUCAACGCCCUCGCGCGCCAGACCCUCGUCAACGCCGGCGGAGUCGUCGAGUCCGGCUUCACCCCCGGAAAGUUCUGCAUGGAGAUGAGCGCCGCCGCGUACCGGGAUCACUGGCGCUUCGACCAGGAGGGCCUCCCCGCCGAUCUUAUCAGAAGGUAUUGUUAUUGUUGUUAUGGUUAUUGGUCUUGUUGUUGUUAAUAUUAUUAUUUAUUAUUAGCUAACUAAAGUUAUGUUUUAGAUUAAUAAAUUUGACUCGAAAUUUUAAUUUUAAAUUUUAAACUUCAAAUUUUUAAAAUAACUUAAAUUAUGUAAAAUUUUUUAUAAAUAUUUAUUUUUUUGACUUUUCCUUUCUAACUGUCAAAAAUUUAUAUUUUUCUCUCUCAAUAUUUUCUGUUGUUGCAUUUAGUCCCCUUCCCCGUCGCGGUUCUAUCAACUAUUUCAUCAAUUUCUUAUAAUUUAUACCGAAAGUACCCUUCAAAAUAAUAAAAAUAAAUUAUUUUUUUUCUUAUAAAAGAAGUGUGGAUAAUUUGGUUAUUUUGCGCUUUCUACUGACGUCGUACCCUCUGAAAAUUUUUCUUAAAUUUCAAUGAGCCAAAAUAUAGAAUUUUAAAAGUCAGAAAGAAAAGUGAGAAAACGAAUAUUUACAUGGAGAUUUAAUCUCCAGUAAUUUAGCCUUUUGUUGUUUUUGAUAACAUUAAAAAAGAAAAAAGCAGCUAAAGAUUUUUUGAAAAAGGAAUUAAUGUAUGUUAACAAGUGUAGGGGGAUGGCGGUGGAGGACCCGCGGGAGGCGAGCGGGGUGCGGCUGGUGAUCGAGGACUAUCCGUACGCGGCGGACGGGCUGCUGCUGUGGUCGGCGAUGGAGCGGUGGGUGCGCACCUACGUCGCCGCCUACUACCCCACCCCGCACCGCCUGCGCGCCGACGCCGAGCUGCAGCGCUGGUACGCCGAGGCCCUGCGCUCCGGCCACCCCGACAAGCGCCACGCCCCCGGCUGGCCCCCGCUCGCCGCGGUGGCGGACACGCUCUCGACCAACUCUGGCCACGAGGAGUACCUCAUCGAGGAGCUCCGCGGGGACUGGACCGGGGACGCAGAGAUGGCGCGUGCGGAGUUGGGGUUCACGGCGGAGGUGCGACGCGCGGGGGAGGAGAUCGCACGGUGGAACGCCGACCCGGCGCGGCGCAACCGGUGCGGGGCCGGGGUGCCGCCCUACGAGCUCAUGGCGCCCACCUCCGGCCCCGGGGUCACCUACCGCGGCGUCCCUAAUAGCAUCGCCAUUUAUUUUUAAUUUUAAUUUUAAUUUUAAUUAUUAUUACUUUACUUUUAUAAAUUUCUUUCUUUUUUUUUUCCUUGAUACUGUUGCAAAUAGAAAAUGAGAGAUGGCAAUCGCUUCUCUUCGUAAGAGAUCCCCACAUGGCUCAGCAACGCGGCUGUGCUCCUUACCCCCGCCCGCCUGGAUCUUCGGUUCAACUCCCUCUCUGGCCCCAUUCCCUUCACCUUCUCUGUUGCAGACCUCAGAUUUCGAUUGCAACGGCAAUAAUGUUUUGUCAUCGCUUCUAUCUCCAUCAGACUCAUGCAAAAAAUGAGUGGCAGGUGUGUAGCAUCAUACGUUCAUUUUUAUGUUAUUCUCCUGCAAUUCUUAUACAAAAUCCNUUAUGAGAAGUAUGCUUUCCAAAUCACGAAGAUUUUCGAGCUUUUAAUCUGUUUUUGAUUAUAGGCCAUCUGAUUCAGCUAUUUGUGUAAAGAAACUAAUAGCCUCAUAAUAAAUCGUUGAAAAUAAAAAUCUCAUAAAAAAUAAUAAUAGUGAACUUAAACUUCAAAUCGGAGACUAUUGAUCUUGCCCUCGAUGUUAAAUAAAAAUUUCUAUUAAAAUUUUUAGGACCUUAGAUCAAUUUGUAAAUAACGGCGAAAAAUUUAAAUAAUUUGGUUUCUAAGUAAUUUUAAUAGUAUAAAGCGUGUCUAACGGAAUAUCUAGCCGAAUCGGAUGUUUUAUCAUCGAGCAUAAUUUGAAAAUAUGAAAGCCUUCGCACUUUGAAAAGUAUACAAGCUGAACUCGAUUAUAUGGUGUAUGAAUCAUUCAAAAUGUAGCCUUAAAAUGCAUCAGAAGAGAAACAGCGGACGCUUUUGAGCUCCACAACUGCUAAAUAGUUCGCCUCAAAAUUCGUACAAAAAGCUCCAAAAACGUUUCACAAACUGAUGAGUUUGAAUGAUUAAAUUUAUUCAGUAACAUUGUGAUCCGUAGACAACCGUCGAUAAAAUACGUUGCCUAAAUAAGUUUGUUGAGAGUCUGAAACAUUUGUGAGUGCAGCAGUACUUAUUUUUCAUCAUAGAUCUUCGCACAAGUCGCUCGGUAAAUUGGACGAUACGACAUUUUCUGGAACAAUUCCACAAUAUAAUGAAGCAUGAAUGCAUGGUGUUUUGGAAACUGGUUGCAGAAUAGGGUAGUACAAAAUAAACUACUAGAGGAUACAUAUGGAAAAAUUCUAAUUAGUACAAUGUAGUGCUAUAAUACAGUUGCAUAAAUGCAACUCAAAAAUAAGAACAAAAUUUAUAUCUGAGAAACAACAUCUUUCAUCAUCUCAUGCCCUGCUACGUUCCAAUGUUGCUCACCAUCUAUCCUUUACAACGGCAAAUAUACAAUUUCUCUUGUCAUAUAUCAAUUGAAAAAUAAAAAUAAAAAUAAAAAUAAAAAUAAAAAUAAAACAAAUAAAGCAAAGAUGCAAACGAAUACAAAUUAGAAGGUCGGUCGUAUGAGAUAAAUGUGUCCCGCCUGCACGAGCUCCCCCCUAAAAAUUCGCCAAAGUCAUUCACCAGAGUAAAAUUUAGCAAACACGGCUCAACGUCGAGUCAGUCUUUCAGUGUUCAUUUUUCAAAAUUGAAAUUCAACUUCCGUUCGAGACGGAUAAAGUAUAAAUGCAAGGGGGGGAAAAAACAAGGAGAGACUUGUGUUCUGCAGCGCUUCACUUCUUCAUUGUUAAAGACCCACAUACUUUCAGUCUCUGCAUAGAAAAGAGAGAUUGUAACACGGAAGAUCUUUGAUGAUUCGAAAUAAGAGUCUGAUAAACAUUUCAAACAUCGGAAGGAAAGGAUAAAUAUACCCACACCUCUUGAACUUCCAUGCUUUUAUAGGCAGACCUCUAAUUCAAAAUUUUCGAAACCUGCGACCUCAAAUUCAUGUACUAGUAUAAUCUACACUUUCACCCAAAACAAAAUUAGUUUCCAAACGGUUUCUCGCAGUGCGUCUAACAUGUGUAUCUCAGUGACCAAGGAUUAAACCCCAUUUUGAGCAAAGCGCUAACAAAGUCCUAAUUUGUUCUGUUACUGCAUGAUGAAAGGUGUUUCAUUAUUCAUAUUUAAACACAUGAAAGACAAGCAGCAAGAAAGCUCUUAGAAACUAACAUUGUUCAAUUGCACCAUUUCAUGAAAUUUAAGAGGCUGAUAUAAAAAAUUAAUGAGUUUAGGGAAUAUGCCAGUAAAAACUUAGUUAAAUGGGAUUAUCCAUAGACAUUAAAAGGAAAAUUUAGAUUAAAGUGAUUUUUGAACUACGGAGAUUACCAAAUUGCUUCACAACUUUAAGUUGAUCCUCUCAGACCAUUUAAAUAUAUCCGAAUAAACUUGAUCACCACCUAGGUCCUCUCCGGUGGCUCCUGCUGCCACUCGAAUGAUAUCCUCAAUCAAAGCAAAGUUGCCCAUUAUGUCGACAUGGGCGCCACUCUGUGUCCCCCGGCCCUCCAAGAGAUUAGCAGGGGGUGCAUGAUCAUACUCCCUAAUAUAUGUUUUGAUGCCAGAAGGAUUGAAGCGGGUUCUUCCCCGCCACGCUUUUGCACACAUGAAGCCUGAACUUAGAACAGGCACAGUCUCAUCCCCAUUGACCAAGUAAACACCGCCUUGUAAACAGCUGCCGUCGUGUCCACCCUCCGCUGAGGUAUCAAUCUGAAAGGGAAUGGAGCACUCGGUAGAUGGGGAUAACUUAUAGACAUAUGAUCUCUCAGUAAGGAUGCCAACUCCAUACAUUGAGAAUAUCUCCAUAUCAGGGGCAUUUGGUAACCUUGUGAGGAAAAUGGGGAAAAAAAAAAAAGUGAGAAAAGAAACUUCAAAUUUGUAAGCGUUUUCUCAGCAUGCAUUCUAUGUUCACAAGCAGAGAGAACUCGUAGAAUAUGACAAAACAAUCUGCUCAUUAAGUCUAAAAAAUUCAGAUAUAAAGGACAGAUAUUGCACUCUAUUGUAAGACCUAUUGAAAGACCACAGAGCAUGCCAGUUUGCAACUAUUUAGUCAGAUGUAACCUUACAUUCCAUAUGCUAUAAUACCUAGACAAGUUAGCAUGUUGAUCUACACUAAAUGCCAUGUAACUUAAAAUGGAGUCCGGCUACUAUACUCUUAUGAGUACAAUCGCCCUCGUACUCAUAAGUUGUUUUCGAUGAUAGAGAUUCCGAAUCGACGAUCCACACCGUUAAACGUUAUUUAGAGCAUUUAAAACAUCUAGAAAUCAAAUUUUAUAAAUUUUCGACAUCAUUUACCUUAUGAUCAAAAGGUCACAAAAUUGAUAAUUUUUAACGGCCGAUAUGAGAUAUUUGCUAGUUUAACGGUGUAAAAGAAUCGAAAUCGGUUGAAUUUUUUAUAGAAAAUUCUAUUCACUACAUAGAUUAAGAUCAAUAACUCCGAUCUUAAAUUGAAGGAUCCGAUCAUUCAUUUUUAAGAUAUCGUUCGAUUUUGACCGUUCAUUUUAUACCUGCUUGAUGAACUUUAUUAUGAUUUCGAAAAAUUAACAAAUUUAUUUUCUAGAAGUUUCAAAUACUCUAGAUCAUAUUUAACGGAGUGGAUCGUCGAUUUGGAAGCUCCAGUAUUGAAAACAACUUAUGAGUAUGAAGGGCUCUAUACUCAUAAGAGUAUAGUAGCUCUAGCCCUCAAAAUGAAUGCGUUGGCAAAAUAGCUGCUGAAAAGGAUAACAUAGAGAUUUUCCGCUCAACAAGCCGAUAGGGAUUUUGCAGUUGACAAGCUGACUUAUCUUACAGACUGACCUUUUUCUCAAUGAACACCUAGGAACCAGGGCAAAUGCAUGAGCACUAGUUAGGCAUCCAUUAGAAGGUUUCCAACAAGGACAGUCUUCGGAUGUUGAAAAUCAAGACCGCCAUAGCCUGCAGUCUUGAGGUUUAUUACAACCAAUUUGAACCCCCAGAUCCUAAAACAAUUCAAAAAUAACCUAAAAAGCCAAGCAAUUUUCCCUUUUCUCCACUAUUUCCUUUUCCUAAAAUUUGAUAGCCUAGGAAAAUCAUAAAUCAUACCAUUUUUUAAUUAAUAAUGUAGUAAGUUCUAUAUUAGAUAACAAUAGUAUCAGAAUCCAUGCAAAGUAUCAGAAUCAAGUUUUAUUCAAGAGGCAAAAGAAACUCCACAAAAGAAAUUAUGUUGCGAAAAUUCAAACUAGAUUAGUCGGGAGUAUAAGUAUAAACUCUCACUUUGUUUCUAGGGGAUUUGACCAAUAUUUGUAGUGGUUAUACUUUGGGUCAUCCAGAUUAUCAGCAAUACCAUAUGAGAAGUGAGCACUUCCACGCUGCAUCAUCUUCGGGGCAACAAAAUGAAGAAGAUCCAGAAUGGAAUCAGUUGUAUACACUUUGUAAUCAGCUACCGCUUUAAUUCCGCCCCAUCCCAAUUCAUGGUGCUCUGUCCAGACAUCUCGGCAUGAUGCAUUUGAAUGAGCAAGAUUGUUACCUUUGACAGCAUCCUGAAUGAGAGGGGGGGGAAAAAAGAUUAGACAGAAUAGUAUGGUAUUUGAAAAAUUAAUAUAGCACAUUUAAAGAUAUCAAGUAUCUAUUUGAAAAAUUAAUAUAGCACAUUUAAAGAUAUCAAGUAUCAAAUCAAUGCCAAUUUCUAAAAAGAUAUCUAUUCUAUUCAACAAAUGUCUGCGAGUAUACUUUCAGAACAACCAUCAUGUCCAAAUAAAGGUAUCCCAAGCCUCUCGGAUCAGUUCUUUUAUAUGGUAUGGACAAACAGUAGUUCUUAAGGCAUGAAAGACAAUUAUAACAUGUGAAUAUUCAUAUUAUAAACAAACGAACAAUCUUGCCAGGAUCUCACCAAGUGUACCAAAAAUCAACUUAAAAGACAAGCAUCCCGCAGAAAGAGUUAGAAAUUUAUCACCAGUCCAAUAUAAAUCAGAUAUGGUAGCUAACAUCAAUAAAACUAAAAAUUCAAAGUGGUUAUCAAUAGAGUUGAUUAUGUGGAUUAAGCUAGCAGCAUUCCUAGAAAAAAUCAAUAUGUCAACUCAGACUGACUUAUCAGCAUCAAACUCGGAAGAUUGACACUUCUUUUCAUAGACUUCAGAGCUAUUUCAAUGUGAUACAUCAAGUGACUUCAAAACAUGGUGUAAUAAAACCUAACAAAGCUUUUAACCUUAUGUCCAGAAGUAUCAAAAUCUGUUAUGUUUUUUAAAUUAGGCUUAAAAAUAUUAUCAUAAUAAAUUAUCUAGAUUCUCGAUAAGAAUGUCCAGCUAUAUAAUCAUGUAACUCCUAACUAGCAACAUCUAUUUUUUGCUCAUUUGAUACAAAGCUGAGAGACCUUGAGAGGAUACACAUCCAAACCCACUAUAUCCUACAAUAUCAUAUUAUACAGCAUGGCAUAUAAUGACAAAAUUUAGUCUGAGCAGCUAGAAAAGAGAACGAGGGUAGAAAAACUAAUGUACAAUAAGUCUUCAUAUUGCAAUUUUCUUUGAAAUAAAUAAAGUUAAUACUUACCCGAAAAUCAAUGCGCUCUAUCGUAGAGGCAGGUGCCUCUGCUACAUCCUUCCCGAAAGAAAUAAUUCUUCCAUAGUUAACUUUUUGCGAGUGAAAAUCUGCCUUAUCAGUGUCAACAUCCUUAGAAACACGAGAGUCAUUAUUCUUUUGCUUCUUGGAGCUACAGACAUAGCCCUCUUCUGGAGACCAAUCUAGUCCACCCCAUAUAGUAUCACCGCCUUUAGGAAUCAUUGACAUAGUAGAGUCCCAUGUACGAGUCAUACGCAUGACAUGUCGCAAUGUCUGAAGACCAAGAAAGUCUGAAUCUAACACCCCAGGUGCAAUAGCCCUAUACAUGGAGAGAAAAUGAUGAUACUUUCUUCUUUUCCACCAAACUAACAUACCAAACUUUUACUGGAAAGAGCAACAAACAAUUAGAAGAAAGACUCGUCACUAGACAAAUGACGUUACCCAAGUAGAUGAGAAGAAACAAAUAUGUUUUAACACCACUUAACUAAUUUAACGCCACUUAAACAAGCUUUACAACACACAUCUUACAGGGGGGAAACACGUAUAAUCUCUUGAAAAGAGGUGAGUACUCGUACUUUUUAAAUAAGAGAGAAUAAACAAAAUGUUGUACAUGCUAAGGUCCAAACUUGCUGUUCAUGUCAACCAUGGACAUUGGUACUUGACGUUGAGAAGAUUCAGUCAGAAGUAAGAAAAAUCCAACCAGACUAAUUGCUGACUGAGCAAAAGCAAGUACAAGGACUUGCCAUAUGAGCACAAAAUGUCAAAUGGCUGGAAGCGACAUGCAAACUAGGAGAACCUCUAUGAGGAUUCUCAUACAAGCCAAAGAACAGAGAUAUUGUUCUCAUUUAGGAGGCAACCUUCAUCGCUGUGACGACAAGCCAACAAGCUAAAAUAUAAUCUAGUGCAAAGAAUACAUCUUUCAAGUCCAAUAAAAUGAUGAAUUUAAGGCACCUUCAGAUACAAGUAACUAAUAGUAUGUUAACGAUAGAAACAUUUCAUUAGGAAAGGUUAAGCUGAAAGGAAAAAUUUGACGCUGUGUCCACAUUAACUUUCCUCAUGUUACUAGUUAUCCACCGGAAGUAGGAAAAAAGAAAAAUAGAACUGCUGAAGAUGCAGAAGUGACGCGACGUAGUAAUAUAUUGUCAAGGCAACGAUUAUAACUAGUAAUCUUGUUGUUCCAAAUAUUCAUAUAAGAUUUUGUUUUUAGCUGGAAAUAAAUAACUACAUAAGGCUAAUAUAGAAUGUCAUUUAGUAUAGCCAUCCCUAAGUGUACCAUUCACCACGUACCAGUACAUAUUAGUGCAGAAAUUGUAUAUUUUAAAGCUACAAUUUACAUAACAUUUACUAUAUGAUAUAUUUGAUCCUUCAAGACAGAAAAGAUAAACGUGAGCAGAAAGGAAAAAAAGAAAACUUGUGUUACCCUCUAGGAGAGCGUACCUAUAAUUAAAUGGACGAUACAUCAAGAACAUUCGAGAAAAAGGAUACUUUCUAUAUUCACUAAAACAAUCCACCUUCAGAAGAUUAUCAAUAAUAAAUCAGCAGCCAGAACAAUCUUCCUAUCUUCAGUAGUCGCAUUAGCAAAUAGACAAAUAGGCCAAAACCUUUUUUUUCUCCCUUUCUAUGCAAGGACCAAAGUAUUUACAUUUCCAUUUAGAGAAAUCGCCAAACAACUUAUUAAACAGAAUAGAAACGAACUUGAAUUCUUGCAGUUUUUCAUUGAAUCGCCUCUUUAUUGGGUAGUCUACAUUUGCUUCAUUCUGUUUUUUAUGCGGUACUAGGGGUGUAAAACGGGUCGGGUGGCCCAUGGGCCGGCCCGGCAGAUCUAGCUGGCCCGCAGGCAUACCGGGCACGGCCUGCAACCACAGGGUAGGAUUCAACCCGGUGCGGCCCAAACCAUUUAGGACCGGGCCUAAGGGCUGGCCCAGCCUGUUUAUUCUUUUUUUUACUUAUUUUUUCUAUUGUUUUUAGUUUUUUAAAUUUAUUCUUUCAAAUAUCAAUUUAAAAUAAUCAAGUAUUAAUUUAAAAUAAUCAAAUUUUAAAUAUUUAUUUAAUAAAAAAUAUAUAUUUUUUAUAAAAUUAAUAGUAAUUUUUUUAAAAUAAAAUUUAAAUAUAAAAAUUGUAAAAAGGGUCAGCCAGAGGGCCGGCACAGCCCGUGCAGUUCGAGCUGUUGACCGUGCUAGGCCACGGUCCAAUGCCCGACCCGGAUUUGAAUCCAAGCUGGGUGGGGCCACCUUGUGGCCCGGAUUGGCCCGAAAAAUUCUAGGCCUUGCCAGCCAGCACGGCCCAGAUUACACCCAUAUGCGAUACCCAAUGCUAUGUUAUGGUCACACUCAAUGCUACCUAUAAUUAACUUAUUUGAUACCAUCUAACUUAAUUCUGUAACCAAAUUCCUACUAUAUCUAGAUAACAGCAGUCAAAGCAGAAUAUUAGCCUUGAUGAAUAAUGCAUUAAACUGAAGAUAGAUUUCAAGAGAAUUGGUAUUCCUUAAUUAUAAGUGUCAAACAGAAGUAGAUAUUUAGCUAUAUGCUCAAUUAGUGAAAUUCCAAUGUUAAUCAAGAUAGCAAUGCUAGUAUAGAGAUAAUAAAGUGUUUUGAAGUAUCACACAUCAUAGACUAACAUUUAAGUUACAAAGCUAUGAUUUGUACCUUAGGUUACCGUUUGGUUCGAGAACAAGUUAUUUUUGUUUAUUCUUGGGAUAGGUAUAACUUCUGGGAUAGGUAGAAAUUAAUUCAAUUUUGUGUUUGGACGAGAAUCGAGAUAUUUAGAGGAAUAAGAAAAAUUAUGUUUGGUUGAUUGGGUUGGAAUAGUAGGGAUAAGAGUAAUUAUGAUUGAAAAUAAAAUUAAUUUAUCUAAAUAAUAAGCAUCUAGGUAUUAGUAAGAUAAUAUUUUAAUAAGUUAAUAAAUAAAUUAAUCAAAAUUACUUUAUAAAUUAAUUAAAAUUACUAUAUAAGAUGACAAAGAUGACAUUAAUUAGCAAAUAACUAUAAAAAAUAAGCCAAUAUGUUAAUAUUAAUUAAUUAUUUAAUCAUUUAUAUUUUUAGUUAAUAUAUUAAUUAUAUAAAUUAAAAUACUAAUUAUUUAAAUAAUAUAAAUAUUAGUAAAUAAUUGAAUAUAUGGCUAACUAUUUAAUUAGAUAAAUAAUAAUAAAUUAUAAAUAAAUUAUUAUUUAAAUAUUUAUUAAUCUAAUAAGUUAAAUAAUUAAUUAGUUAAUUACAAAAAAAAUUAAUUUCAUUAAUUAAUUAUAAUUUAUAAUUAUUUAUAACUUAAUUAGUAAAGGAAUAAGGUAGAGAAUAGCUUGUUCCACCCAAUAGGUGGAACUAUCUUCCCUCUUAACGGGUUAUUCCGGAAUAACCCAUUAAGAGGAGAAUAGUAGUUCUUGGCAAUUUUUAACACCGUUUGGAAGAAUAAGAGGAAUAAAUUCCUUAUUCUUCCUUUAUUCUUUGAACCAAACAUAGCUGUCAUUUGGUUGCAAGGAAAACAUUUUUGGAAAGUUUUUUCCUAAUUUCAAGGAAAAUUAGUGUUUUCGUUUUCCGAAUUAUUUUUUAGGAAAACGAAAAUACUAGUUUUCCAUAAAACUUCGAAAAAAACUUUCCAAAUAAGCUAGUUUCCCUUGGAACCAAACAGGCAAAAAACUGGAAAAAAGAUUUUUCAUAGAAAACUUUUUUCUUGAAAACCUUUUUCCAUACUUUUCGGAGGAACCAAACAGCCCCUAAUAGUUUCACGGAAACAUAAGGAUAUCAACUAGAGCAAAAGGAUAAGUACUUAGGAUCGCAUAUACCCAAGCAUUUUUACAAUUAUUACCUAGCAACAGCAACAUCUUUGGCUUCAGCCGAGAAAAGACCAGCAACAGCCUUUGGAACACCUAAGAAGGGGCCACCAAUAUUCAUUACAGCUUUGAUAUGUUUUGAACACCAGUUUGGACCGCCGCCGCCACCCGUAGGAGCAGGUGCUUCAACCCAUUUCAUAAAAUGCAAAAAGUACAAAACUCCCAUGGAAUGCGGGAUAACCACCACUUUAUUGCCACCAUUUGUUGAUACCAUGAGUUCUAUGUUACUCUUUAUUCUGCUUAGGGUCUGAUCACGGACCUGUUUGCAUUUGCUCGUGCAAGCACAUGACGUAUGUCAAAAACCUUGGGAAGGAAUUAAUAAACUGCUACAAAAGGAGAAUGCAUACAAAUGGAGAAUGCAAAACUGAGCAAGAAAAUACACUUAAAGGAGAAAAUUAGGUGGUGUUUGGGUGCAAGUAUUUGCAAUAACACUGCAAUUAUAAGUACAUGCAAAUCCACAACCACCAUUUGGUUUCAUGCAUUUGAAUCCAACUGCUGCAAUUGGAACUGCACAAAGAGGUUCAAAUGCAGCAUUUGAAACAAUGCCAAAAUUGGCCACAUUUCCAACUGCAACAGUUAGAGAGAGUGACAUUAAACAAAGUAAGCUUAUCUCCCUAAUAAUCUUCCAAACAUAAAAUGAUUUUUUUAUAUAUAGAAGGUAAUCUCACCAUACCAUAUAUAAAGUGAUAAAAUUUUGUAAAUGCAUUUGUCAACCAUACAUAACCAAACAAAAUAUUUAUAGUUGCUGCACUUUCUAUUGCAUCCAACCAAACAAGAUGUAUAAUUAUAAUAGUUGCAUUGUCAAGAGCAUGCAUUUUGAACUACACCGCACUGACAAUUACUUCCAACCAAACAACCCCUUAGAUGUGACUGAACGAAAUGAAAGGGUACCAAUCAGGUAUUUAGAAAGUUCAAGCUACCUCAGUGUUUUGAAAAGAUAAUCUCCAGUCAUAUGCAGCCAUAUACAUUGUCUUCUCUUCAUAUCCAAUGCGAGCCAAAUUAGCAAUCAGCACUGCCCAGACAAAGUAUCCUGGAGCAAAAUAAUCUGCCGCAACAAGCCCUGUAACAGGCCUAACUCUUAUACCUGGAGGAUCCAGCCCAGUUUCAUUGUCCAAAGACAUAUGUUCAACCCAGCAUAGAGGUCUGAGGAAGAUUCAUGAACAACAAACGUUAUAAUUGAUACCGAUAAGAUGUCUAGCAAGUUGAAUUAUGCAAAAGGUCGUCAGAGCAACAACUAAUGUUCCUUUUAGAUAUAGAACAGAUUCAGACAAAAGACUACCUAGACAAGACAUCUAAUAGUACAUGCAAUAGACCCGGGUACUUAAAAAUUGAAGAAAAUAGCAAUUUAGCUGGCAAAGAUUCAUCAGCAGGAAUGUAAUAAUUUACUCAACAAUGCCAUGAAAAGUCAAUUAAAUGAAUAAAUUGCUAUAUGUGAUGAUUGCUAUAUCAUUGUUCGGAUCUCCCUUCAACACCAUUAGCUUGUCACUAAAAUCUAGAUCAACACCCUCAAUCCUAGCCACUCAUUCCAAACAAAGGUCUAGAAAAAGAAAAGAGAAGACACUUCAUACCAUUUUCCUUGACUCUUGAAUAACGGAAGCAAGGCUUCGACAGCCCAUGUCGGUCUGCACAGGGUGAAACACACUGUGUCGAUAGGCCACUCUUAAAUAAAUCCAGAUAUAUCUGAUUAAUCCACCUUACUUUUUUUUUUGCUUCUUAUGUGAAAUGAGACAAAGUGCUUCUUAAAGCCUAAUUCUCAACUCUCCGUUGAAGAACAGCCUAAAAUAUACAGCACGCGACAGCAUGGAUGCAUGCUUCACCACGUGCCACAGCACGUACAUGCUGACAUAUGACCUACAUGCCUACAUAGCACUGCAUGGCAGACCUUGUGGAGAAAGAUAACAACUAAAUAAAUUUGUCUUCUUCUCUAACAACUGAACUUGAAUGGAAAUGAAACUCAACCUCAUAUAAGACAAAAUGAAAAAGAUAAAGGUUAUAUUGUAAUUUUUUUUUUUUUUACUGCCCCAAGUCAGAAGAACUAUUUUCUGGUUCAUGCAGUUACUGAAGAGAUAUACGUAAACGCUAGAUCCAGUCCCUAUUAACUUUAGUGAAGCAUCCAUUUACGUAUAACACAUGUCACUUUGUGCACUUUUGAUGAAGAAAAGUUUUGUUCAAGGGGGCACAAUAGAAAUUUUGAGAACAUUAAGCUUGCUCAUUACUAUUACUAGCAUUAGGAGAAUAAGUAAUCAAGCUAUAACAUUAAGAUACCAACAUUAAAAACAAAUAGACAAGAACAAAGCCCUAUCAAGUUUUGAACGACACGCAAUUCACAGAGUCACAUCCCAAAAGUAGCUAACUUUUUCACAAUUGGCUAAACUACCUGUUUUCUAAUUCUACUAUAACAAUCAAGUUACCACAAAAUCCCAAGCUAACAUAGCAAACUAUAAACACCACUUAUGAGGAAAUCUCCAGCAAAGUAAUUUCCAGAUUCGUGUAUACUUCCUCCUUCGUAGUUCUACAAAUUUCAGUCCCCACUCCCCGGAAAUCCCAAUCAUCACUAAUACAAACUCAAUCACAAAGGAAAUAGGGUUGAACAGAGAGGACAGAUAUAUACCUCUUGUAUACCUCUCCGAAGGUUCCGCCCCAAAGGCGCUUUCGGAAUAGGCCAUCGGCGCACUGGUGGCCCUCCCAGAGCUCGAGCCCCCCGGUGACGAUGCCGGGGACGAACACCACCGGGUGCUUCGCCUUGAGCCCCUCCUUUUGGAGCUUCACCCCGGGGGGGUCCGGUAACGGCCCGGUGAUCGCCUCGGUCACGUACUGCGGGAACGACGCGGGCAUGGCGUUGUAGAGGAAGAGGAGAAGCCACCACACGGAGCAGAUGCACCCGAUCAACCAACAGCAGCUAUCCACGCACGACCACCUCUGCCCCUUCGUCGCCUUCGCCCUCGCCCUCUCCUUCUCCUUCGAGGGCUCGGCGACCUCCGCCCUCGCCGGAGACUGCGGCGCCGCCGGCGGAGGCGGGGGUGCCUGCUUCUCGGCGGAGUCGGAGGGCUUCCUCCGCCGCAGCAUCGACAUCGCCGCCGCUCGGAAGGUGGGGGGCCGCGGCGGAACCCUAGCGCUCACCGAGUGUUUCGAAACCCUAACCCUAACCCUAGGGAGAAGGAGGAGGAGGGAGACGGGAAGAGGCCGCGCUGGUUUCGCGGAACUCCGGUUCCGUCGGGAGCUUGAGAGAGAGAGAGAGAGAGAGAGGGGGGGAGGGGAGGAAAAAAAAUAUAUCAGAGAAAGAGGGGGGGAAGUGAAAGUAUCGACGUGUCGUCGUCGUCGGACACGUGGCAGGAAUCUAGAGGCUUCUGAUCGGAAUCUGGUGGGGCCAGCUGUGAGCCGACGAUCAGGAUCAGCUGUAACGUGCCAACCAGCGCUCUCAUUCGAACGGCAGUGUUGACUACCGAACCAACGUGGGAAACCGUGGACCGGGUCUAUAGACCGGGUUCUCCAAAAACACAAAACUAAUGCGCAAAUAGUAAUGUUGGUCCCCAAACUACAAGCCGAGUGAUGCUUUCCUCCUUCAAUUUUAAUUUAUUAUAAUUUUUAGGUAAAAUUUUCUAGAUUGUUAUUAUGCAAUGCAAUUUAGUUACCUAAACAAUAAUACGUUAUUGAUGUGAUAAUGAUAUAGGAAUAUUAUAGUUUAUGAUAUGAAAAUAAUAAAAAUGUCACACUGCUGCUAUAUCAGUAAUGUAUCAUUAUUAUAACAAUAAAAUUGUAUGGUAUGAUUCAAUUACAACAAUAUAUAAGUUCGAAUCACAAACUAUAGCAAAUUAAAGUUCUAGAAUUAAAAUGUCAUGUGUUUUAUAGUUUAAGGACAAAAGGUGCAAUUUACCCAAAUAAUAACACCAAAUUAAGUAGCAACAAAUGGGAGAUGAUUUUAGCGGAUCUAAAAUUAUUAGUAAUGAGCACAUUUCCUUGGAUUUAAUCAAACUAAAUUGAUUGAUUUGACAAAACUGAUUUGCUUCUAACAAACUCAAAUAGGUAUACCCCACUUCAGGGCAUAUCAGUAGCAUUACUCUAUGGUUAUUUGGAUAAUAACACUUUUGGUCCUCAAAUUAUGAGACGCAUGAUAUUUGAUCCUCAAAUUUUAAUUUCUUAUAAUUUUUUACUCGAAUUUUUUGAAUUAUUUAGAUUAAGUUCCACAAUCCAAUUUAGAUUGGCCAAAUAUUAAUAAAUGGCUAAAUUACAGAAAACCCUCUGCUAAAAUCUGAUUUUUCACUUUUCCCUUCCUGUCAUUUAAAAAUCUAUACUUUGUUCUCUUAUAAAAUGAAAAAUGUUUACUUUACUCCCUACCAUUAGUGAUCCGUUAGAGUUCCGUUAUAAAAUAUUUUUUUAUAUCGAAAAUACUCUCCGCCCUCUCUACUGUUGCUUCGCCCUCCAACGCCUUGCCGCCUUGCCCUCACCUACAUCUCCGUCCGCGCCUAUAAUGUAGUGUUCUAGAGUUUUGGAUAGGAUUGGCUUCAGUGUUAGUGACUGGUCGACACAUCUGAAGAGUGUCGGACUGAGUCGGAGUCGUUUCUACGUGAAAUGGGUGCAAAAAUGGACUCAGCGCACUCAAAUAGGCAAAACUGAAGUUUUGCCAGUUUAGGGCGCCCAGAACUUGGUUUAGGGCGCCCAGAUCUUGAGUGCUGAUUUGAGCAAAAUUGGAAGCCAAUUCGGAUCCUAUUCUGGGCGCCCAGAAGUGGGUCCAGAAGUUUACUUUGGAAAUAUCGCUGGCGUUGACACGUGUUUGUGGUAGGUGAGGUCCGCCGGAUCAAGAUAAGGGUGCAGCACACCGUGGGCGGAGGAACUGAAGAGGGCUGUUUGUGCAGGCUGGAAGUUCUGGGCGCCCAGAACUUGAUUUAGGGCGCCCAGAACUUGCUUUUUCUGCAGCAGUGUAGGUUUGUAUCUAAUGUUCCUAAGGCUUAUAUGACCAUUUAAUAACCCUAUAAAUAGGUGGGAGACGCCCCUGGUAAGCUCUUUUCCUCUCUUUCUCACAGGGAAACUUACAAUUGCAUUCCAACCCCUCCAAAUCACUCAAAUUGCAUCAAAAGUCCACAACUUCAACUUGAGGAGUGCUGAUUCUGCAGUUUUCCAGCGACGACCUUCAGUGCUUUAGCUCGUGUGCGACGUAGGAAAGCCGGAUUGCGGUGAAACUUGGUUUGUUGGAUUCUAGACUUCAAGAGGAAUCCACGAAAUCCAAUAUUGCAGAUUUUGGUGAAGGUUAGCUUGGUCGAACUCAAAUUCUUCUCUACUGCUGUUGUUUUGGGCAGAUUUCUUUGAUGCUAUCUUUGGAGGCAGGGGGAUUUUGGAUCUGAGAUUAAUACUCCAUCAUUAUUCAUUGGAUUUGAAACUUGCCUCACUUGAAUUAGAGAUUAUUAGGUGAGUUUUGACAUUGGAGUUGAGACAAAUUAAGCUUAAGUGCUGAAAUUUGGUGAAUUGAUGGAUUUUGAUGGAUUUUGGGUGUAGAUCCUUCGAGUAGCUUUGUUGCUAGUUGUGGGUGAUCUCGGCUGAGGCUUCCAGCAAUUCGUGACCUUCUUGCUGCCAGAAAAUUGCACUAAAGGUGGGUGUUUCAUCGGUUUCGCUCCAUAAGUGCUUGUAGUCGACAUGUAUGAUUUCGGUUCUUGUAUAUCAUGUUGUAGCUCAAAUUCAUUGAUUGUAACAUGUAUGAAAUCUGAAUUGGGAGCAUGACUAUUAAUUAGAUGAAUAUACAUGUUGGAUUUGGAACUUGACUUAGGAGAAAACCAGCGAUUCGACCUGUCAUAUGAUUCUACUACCUGAUUUAGCUCUAGGAGCCGUGGUUUGAUUGUAUCACUGCUGUUUCAGCGCGGUGGAUAUCCGGGGUAGUUUAGAAUGUAUUUACGCUCGUGCUGGGAUGCCGAGCUUAUUUUUACAGCAGAGUCUAGGCUGUUUCAGAUUGUCGGGUGCCGUCGGGGUGGACGGUGGACCCAGAUUUCUGUUUUUGGUCUCAGAUUGUGCCGAGGGCACGUGGUUUGGUUUUUAGACCUGUUUUGACCCUAGCUACUUGACUUUGGCUUGUUAGAGCCUGAUUGAGCUCGACAGAGAUACGCUGCAUACUCGGUUGGUAGCUCCCACGAGUGCCACUCCGGAGAUGGGCGCUGUACUUUUGCGUUGGUAUCGUUCGUGCAGGUUGGACUUGCUCUCCACAGACUGGUUAGUGUGGAGGUAGCUGUAUAGUCGCAACCGGGCGGGACGGGUGUGUUCACAGUCCCAUGGACGGGUAGGAUUACAGUCCUUAUUUGAGAUUGGGUCUGAGUUGACACUGUUCUACAGAUGGUUAGAUUUAGAACAUGAUAGUAUAGUGGCAUAUAGCUGUAGAUUUGUUCCAACUUUCUUUACUAUUCCUGCUAUCCCUGUAGACUUAGUAGGUGGACUGAUGAGUUUGAGGGCGGUACCCACUAAGGACUACUUGUUUUUACAGUAGUUCUCACGCCCAGUUGUUACCACUGUUUUUGUAGAGCCGUCGCCUUCGGCUGCUGCUGUUGCUGAUCUUGAUCGUGGCAAGGGCAUCGCGAGUUAGAGCCCUUCCAGUCGAGUCACAGAGCUAGAGGAGCACCAGCUACAGAUAGUUGUAGUUUUUAGGUCUUUACAUAUAGUUGUUGUUUCUUGCUAGAGCGAGUAUUUGUAUACCUUGGAUGACAUGUAUGUAUUGAACCACAGUUUUUUUAUAUGGUUUAUUUUUCUAGCUGCUCUAUACUACUGUUUGUAGUAUUGUACAAUUACAGGUACUUCUACUUUUUCGCUUCGUAUACAAAAAAAAUAUCUAUGCAUACGGCAGGUCUGUUAGCGAGCCCGGGGGAACGGGUAAUCCGGGGCGUGACACAUAAACACCCUCUUUACCCUCCUCCGCCGCCUCGCCUUCACCCUCGUUACCUUUGCCCACCUCUCCAUCCACAUCCACAUCGAUUUCCUCCCUACUGUCGCCAAAAUAGAGAGGCGACGAGGGUACAGAAGAAGAAAAUGAGCAAAUGGAGAAGAAAAUAGAGAGGAACUUCGGCCGAUCGAGGCGGCGGAAAAGCAAGAUGAGAGAGAAGACGAAAAAGGUGAGGGGCAAAAUGAUCAUUUUGUCAUCACAGUUCACACCGUACCCCCUGUAAACAUUUUUCAUUUUAUAAGGAGCCAAGGUGUAGAUUUUUAAAUGACAAGAGGGGAAGUGAAAAAUCGAAUUUUGACAUAAGAGUUUUACGUAAUUUAGCCUUAAUAAAUUGUUGAUGUAAAAAUGAUAUAGCAUCUUAAUUAUUAUUGCAUUAUCAAUCACAACACUUCAUAUCACUUGUAUAUUAAUAAUUUGUCAAUAUUUAGCCAAUUAAAUAAGAUUAUAAAACUUAAUUGUAAUUGUUGUCGCAUUUUUAUUUUUAUUAUUAAAUGUGAAUUUUAAUUUUUAUAACCCUCGCAUGAAGAUGACAUAAUCUAUACUCUAACAUUUAUGGUUACAAAAUGCAUUCACUUAACUUGCAUUCAUUCGUACAACCAUGAGAUCUAACGUGUAUAUUUAGUGCUCCUGCCGUUCUCUUCCACUCCUAUAACUCUUCACCAUUUAACUCUUGUAACUUUCACAUUUAUUUAGAAAGUUAAUAUCAUAUAACUUCUAAUUCUAUGAGCCUACAUAUAUAGUGUGCAUUUCGUUCUUUGAAACGAUGAAAAAAACAAUAAGUUAUUUCUAUUCUUGUGAGAGAGAGAAGGCCAAAGAAACGUGUUUUUUUUUGUGGAAUUUUGGGCUCAUCUACUUGUGUAAAGUUGAUAUAUGAAACCACACAACGAGUGUCGAAUCAUUGUAUCCCGAAGGGAACAAGUCAGUGCUCUACUGCAUCGGUUCAAAGGCUUUGCCAAACGCAGAGAGUUUAAAUCUCCUUAAAGAGAGCGAGAUUUUCGUGUCUCAGUUUGAUCAACUCGUUUAUACUUUUUAUAUUAUUUUGUAGUUAAUUUUUAUUUUUUGAAUAUAUACACCAACAGUAAUAGUUUAAAACUAGUGUAGAGAUCCGCGCGAUGCGGCGGGUAGAUAAUAGAAAUAAAAUUUUAAAUUUUUUUUGAGAUAAAAAAUUGUAGUGAAAAUUAAAAUUUUAAAAUGUACAUGUGUCCAUGGUGGCGAGGGGCGGCGAGGCGACAUUUGACGCGGUCGAGAAGGAAGCGGGCGACGCCAACGUCGAGGUCGGAGGAGGAGGGCGGCGGCGGCGGAGGCGAAGAGGUAAAGGAAGAAGGCGAUGUUGCAUGCGGCGGUGGCAGACGCAAGAUGGGAGGUUUGAGAAAGAGAGCGGCGGGAAGUUGAGGGGACGCGGGAUGGGAGGAGAGAGAGAGAGGAUGAAAGCAAAAUUAUAGGAUCAAAAUAUUUAGGAGUUACUAUAUAUGUAACUUGAAAUAAUUUUAAAAAUGAAUGAGAUUUAAAAAAUAUAAAUAAUAGAAUUAAUGUUACAGUUACUCAAUAAGAUAUAGUUUUAGAAAGAAAGUUGGUGGGUCAUUAAAUAGUAACAAAUAAUAAAUUAAUUUGUAAAAUAUAAUGAGAAAAAAUAUGAAAAGGCUAUUCUUAGUCAGAAAUGACAACAACUAUAUAUGGAGCCUAUUUUGAAAAUGAGAGAUGGACCAUAUUUGGUAUAAUUUGACAAUUAAUUAUCAUAGUUUAUAAUAAUUGAUCAAGCAAUUAUGAGGAACCGUUUUCUAAUUUAGAAGGUUAAUUGCUAAUAGAAACAACUAGUAUGAAUUUGACAAUUAAUUAUCAUAGUUUAUAAUAAUUAAUCAAGUAAUUAUGAGGAACCGUUUUCUAAUUUAAAAAAUUAAUUGCUAAUAGAAACAGCUAGUAUGAAAUGUAGAUGGUUAUGUAGAAUUUGAAAUGCAAAUUAAAAAAAUUUUCUAAAAAAGGAAGUCAUGCCACCUCAGCUUUUGUUAUUAGGGAUCAAUAAAAAGUAAUAGAUAUUCGAAUUAGAAAUUACAAUAAAAGAAAAUUCAAAGAUCAAAAUGUCACACUCACGAUAAUUUGAGGACCAAAAAUGUAAUUUAUACUUUCUAUGUUUUUUUUAACUUUAGAUUAUCAUAUUGCCUUCUAUGUAACUCACGGUCUGAUGUGGUAUUAAUUGACAAGUUACUAAUUUUACAUUUAUAGAGAUGAAAUUUUCAAACCUAAAAACCUUUAAUAUUGAUAUGUACAAUUAAAUCUAUUAUUUGUAUGAUUUGUUAGGAAAAAUUCAUAAUUUAUCAACAUGUUAUUUGGGUAUUAAUAAGUCUAAAAAAAAUAUGGCAAGUUAAGAACUUUAUAAUCAACCACACAAGAAAAAGAUCAGGAAAAAAUUGAUGUUUACUUUCGAGUAAAUCUCCUAAGUGUGAUAAAUUAUAUUUAGAAAUUUAAAUGCGAAAAUAUGCUAGCUAGCAAUAGAUUUUUUAAUUUUUGUCAUUAUUGGUUAACUUAUAGUAUGUUUUUUUGAUUAGGUAAAGAUAACAAUUUCUUAUAAAGCAAUCAAACCAAAAAAAAAAAAGAAAAGAAGCUAGAGAGAUUACAACUUUCUCACCUGUUUGAGCUGCAAACAAAGAAUUUUAAAACAAAUGCGAACAAGCAUUCCAUUUUCCACUCUCACACUCUUGUUUUAAUUUAAUUCAACUAAACAAAAAAUAAUACUAAUUGAUUGCUUAUGCUUAAGGGUUUGUUUAGUUUCCAAAAAAUAUUUCAUAAAAUAGUUUUCUAACUGAAAUAAUAUUUUUCAUCCGUUUGCUUCUUAGAAAUGUAGUUUUUUUUUUUUUUGAAAAAAUCAGAUUUUAUAAAAAAAAAAACGAUUACUUUAAUUUUUAAAUUUUUUUAUACAGAAAAUAAAAACUGCAAAAAAAAAUAAGUUUGAUAAAAUAAAUUUCAAAAAAUUACUCUUUAUAUUUUUUUUGAAGAACAUGUACCCUCGAUCCACAAAACACGUACGUUCCAGGACGUUCGUAGGCACUAAUGAAGUGCCACGUCAUCUAAGCGGGCAAUUAAAAGCGGGUCUAGGGCGACGCAGCGAAUGAGAGCGUUUCUUCGCGGCACGGGCCCACCGCGGUGUAUGAGUAGUAUACGACUUAGUUUGGAAUUACAUAAAGAUUACGUUACGGGCUGUAAAAAAAUACAUUAGAAAAAUAUUCUAUUUAUUUCUGUAUAUAAUAUUACAUUCAGCAUAUCACGAUCAGUCAGUUACGAUAUAUACAUUAGCAUCUUUAUUCUCGUAUCCGUUUCGAAAAGCGUGCUAUGAAAGUGGGCCUGAUGUUGACUGUAUUUACGUGAAUUGCCACGGAAUGGAGGGUCGAGGUGACGUGUCGCCAGGGACAGGAACGCUGGAACGGCGCGUAACGGUUCGGGCGCGGACAAGUACGCGGUAACGGCGCGUAAUGGGUCGGGCGCGCCGCCGCUGAACGACACCGGGGAACGGGAAAAAGUGAACGGAAAUGUACGGCCAACGGGUUACGGUUGUUAAAGUGCAUCCACAACGUUCGACAAACACGGCAGUUUUGCUAUAAAUGACUAAUUGCAUAUUAAAUACAACAAUUUUGAAUACAACUUUUUGUAUUAUUCAAAAAAAAAUAAAUGUAUUUAUAUUUCAUACUGAAAAUUAUAUGUCAAAUAAUGUAUACCUAAUUAAGAGCAAGAAUUUAAGUAUCGUGAAACGAAAUCGUGUCAAAAAUUUACUGGCGCUGUAUAGUGUAGUGCGUGUCAGACGGUGCCGAUGUGUGCCGGUUAUAAAAAUACAUGUGUGCCGAUAUAUAAUUACAUACAAUGUUUAUUUUUUAAAAAAAUAAAAUAUUUUAAUUGCUUAUAAUAUAUAUUUGUUAAGUAGUUUGAAUUUUAUUAAAAAAACUACUUACUGUCACGCCCCGGAUGUCUCGUUCCCCGGGCACGCCGACAAAUCCGCCGUAUACAAAGAAAUUUUUCCUGUAUACUACAAAAAAAUUUUUCCUGUAUACGAAGCGACAGCUGUACCUGUAAACAUACAAUACUACAAACAAUAAUAUAGAGCUGCUCGAAUAAACAUAAGCUAAACGAACUGAGCUUCAUAUACAUAGUUCAAAAAUCAAAAUACAGAGUCACUCGCACUGGCGAGUUAAGUACUAUGUACAUAAGCUCGAAAUAAAACAACUACCUGCAGUAGGGUGCCUCUAGCUCUGCUCGGCGGGGAGGGCUCUAACUCACGACGCCCUUACCUCGAUCCUGAUCCGCGGAAGGCGCAGUAGCAGAAACCUGUGGCUCUGUAAAACAGGGGUAACAACUGGGCGUGAGAACUACUGUACAAACAAGUAGUACUCAGUGGGUACCGCCCAAAACAAAUAUCGGUCCACCCACUAAGUCUACAGAAAGGAGCAAGAAUAGUCGGAAAAGCAGGAAGUAAACUCUACCGCUAUCAAUCACUACACUAUCAUGCUAUACAUUAACCAACUGUAGGAAAUGUCAAAACUGACCCAAUCCAAUCGGGACUGUAAACCUACCCGUCCCUGGGACUGUGAAUACACCCGUCCCUGCCCAGUUACGACUAUCCAGCUACCUCCACACUAACUGGUCCGUGGAGAGCAAGUCCAACCGGUAUGAGCGACACCAACGCAAAAGUACAAAGCCCAUCUCCGGAGUGGCACUCGUGGGCGCUACCCAACCGAGUAUGCAGCGUAUCUCUGUCGAGCUCAAUCAGGCUCUGUCAAGCCAAAGUCCAAGUAACCGACUCUAACUGGUCUAACAACCAACAAGUAAUGUGCCCACGGCACCAUCUGACGCCAAAACGGCGAACCGAGCCCACCGUCAACCCCAAUAGCGCCCAAAAGUCCGAAACAGCCCAAACGACCCUGUAAAAAUCCACUCGGCGUACCAGCACGAGCGUAAAUGUAUGCUAAACUACCUGGAGUACUCGUCUCGAGGAUACUACGACAGUACAAUUUUAUAACGGCUCCUAGAGCUAAAUCAGGCAGUUUAAACAAGUGACAUGUCCAAAUCGCAGGUUUUCUCGUAAUUCAAAUUCUAAGUCCCACAUGUAUAACCUACUCAAUUUAUUACCACAUGCUCCAAAUUCAGAUUUGCAAUCUACCAUAUAAUCCAUGAAUUCGAGCUAGAAUAGAUUAUCCAAAAUCGAAAUCUAUAUAUGUCGACAAUUAUGAACUUAGGAGUAAAACCGAUGUAAACUCACC
rnacentral:lncRNA from 1 species